GUGAUUCAAUCCAUCAUAAUCUGGCUUAUUAUUGCCAAAAACUUGCAAAACCUCUUGUCUUGCACGUUCUUGCCAAUCUUGAUGCUUGCUCAAUAGCACCAUUGUCCAAUUAAGCAAAACAGAGGUAGUCUCUUGGCCGGCAAAGUAAAAUAGCUUACACUCUUCCAUCACGUCGUUGAAGCUCAUUCCAACAUUUUUGUUAUUUCCAUGUUCUUCAAUUUCUCUAAAAUUGGUGUCCAUCAGUAUGCCUAACAAGUCAUCAUUUGCAGCUUCCCCUGCUUUCAUUGCCUUCUCUCUGUUUUUUAUGAUUCCCAUGAGUGCAGUACUUAUUUCCUUGUCAAGUUCUUUCAUUCUCUUAUUUCUCUUAGUAGGCAAAAACCUACAAAUAAGCAUAGAAACAGUUAUGAGAGAGAUAAUAACUAAAUGACUUAAUCAACCCCUAGUCUUUAUUUAUUUAUUUUUUUGAAUUAUAAUCUACUAAUAUUUUACGUCAGAAAACCACCGAACCAUUUUAGAUUAACACUAUAAUGGCACAAUCUGAGUUAUCUAAUGUUUGGGAGAAAUACUGUUUGGGAUAAAGACGUCGACGAGACCAGGCACGGUGAGCAGAUAUCUGAUGGCAGAGUUCUGCGAACAGGUGUGUUCCGUAAAGGCCUGGUGCGUGGAAGAACAGGAGCAGAAAUAUCCGGCUCGUCCACGAGCACGUCAUCCGCGAGGCCAAUUUCCUGUAAGAGGCAUAAGGCCAUUCCGGCUAGAGGCCGAGAGGCGAGGAGACCCGGUCGACGGCAGUUGGCAGGACAUGCUCUCCAGCCCGAGAAUCUAGGCACGACAGCCACGCUUUCCCCUGAACCGUGGCGUAACACGCAAGAUCUCACAGAACCACGACCGCCACGCUUUCCCCUGAACCGUGGCGUAACACGCAAGAUCCCACGCUUGCCCAUAACGCAGCAGUCGGAGUCCCAUACCGUCUCGGAAAAAGCGGAAAACGGGGAUUCAGGAAGCCUAUAAAAAGGUAGCCAACGAAGGUAAAAGAGUUAGCAUUUUUGAGAUAAAAGAAAAAAACCACGAAAAAGCCAUAAGAUCUGUGGCAAACGUUCCCCGAACCUUCAUAUCUGACUUAAGCGUCGGAGGGUUUGCGCCGGGAAAACAACCGGCGUACUCUGACUUGUCCGUGUGUGCAGGGACAUCUGGAAAAAAAAGGCCUCACGAGGAGACCUCCUGGUCGUGGUGAAGUUGAUCGAGCAGAGAUCCUGAUCGUAGAACGAGGAGAACCGGAAUCUCGCAUCAACAUUUUGGCGCCGUCUGUGGGGAUCAGAGCAAAAAGCUUCUUUUGAUAGCAAGAAGAGGGGUAAAGCAAGUGAAAAGCAAUGGAGACAGGAGGAAGUAGUGCACAAGGGGGUGAUAUGAGGCUUAACGACUCCGUGACGCUGAGGGAGAUAGUCAGUGAAGCACGGGAAAAAGUCAUGUUCGACCGGAUGGAACGGAUGGAAAAGCAGAUGGAGACCUUGACAACCAUCCUGCAUGAGCUGCGGAGCGAGCGAAGGGUAACCCAAGAGGGAGGGGUGAGAGGCGGUGGAAUGGCACCAGGUCCCGAUAGUGCGGGGAGAAGUCAAACCACAGGGAGAUUUUACGGUGAGAGAGGUAACGUACCUCUGCGGGGAGAAUUUCAUAGAGAAAGAGAACGGUCCCCGGCAAGACAGACUUGUGACGAGGACGACGGGGCGGUGAAUGCAGAGGAAACAGAAUUGCGGCAACACUUGCAUGAUGCAGAGCAAGAGCGGGAUCAAGUUGCAGCACGUGACCCUGGUCGUGCAGGGCAGCUGGAGGAGGAAGUGCGCAGACUAGCGCAGAUAAUUGACGUCAUGCAAGGAAGGAACAGAGCCCCUGGUUGGAGGAUAAUGCUGGACGGAGAAUCACCGCUCGCAACAGAGAUCAUGAGGGCAGUUAUUCCGAGAGAUUUCCGCCUCCUAGACCUCAGAUACUCGGGAAGAACUGAUCCGCUGGUGCACAUAGAGCGCUUCAACGACAUAACUGGGGUACAAGAAUUAUCUCAAUCCCAAAGGUGCAGGGUGUUCCCACUAUCCCUUGAGGGACGUGCACGAGAAUGGUACAGGAAACUUCCUCGGGGCAGCAUUAAAACCUUCGAACAGAUGUGCCAGGAAUUCGCAGAGCAGUUUAGUGGGGCAAUGGCACCGGAAGAUGACAUGAUGGAGCUGAAAAGCAUGAAACAGGGGGAGCAAGAAACCCUUCGGGAAUUUAUCAAGAGGUUUCAUCGGGUUGUCCUCGACUUAGGAGCCUUCAACCACCCUCAGGCGUUAAGGGGAUUGAAAGAAUGGGUGAAGAUAGGAAGGCUGUGGUACAAUCUGAGAAGCCCAGCUAUUCAAACGUAUGCAGCUGCAUACGAACAGGCUAAGAGAGACAUCGAGAUUGAAGAGGAGAAGGCUGCACGGAUCAAGACAGAUCAGUUAGAAGGGUUGGGGGGGAAAGAGAAGAAAGCAUUACCGGGGAAUGGGCCGAUCAGGAGGAGGGAUCACCAGGCCUCCGGUAGUGGAGCAGGAGGCCGGGUAACUGCUUACCAGCCUCAUCAGAGGCCACCGCAGUAUCAGCGCAGCGGGGCGCAACCUCCUCGUUCCCCAGCUAGGGAGCCUUGGAGAAGGCAUGAUUCGGCAUCUGGUGGUCUUCAUCAACAUUCCCACGGUAGCAGAACGAACAGACCAGAAGUACUUCCCCCGCCCCCAACUCAGGGCGGGGCGAACAGAGAAAGAGCAGUGCACCUGAUCGACCAGAACCAGGACUAUGGGCGGUACACUUCCUUGAAGAUGUCCCUGGAUGAGGUGUACGAGGCCAUAAAGGAUCGAGGGCUGCUCCACCUCCCUACACCAAUAACAAAGCCACCCAACAGGAGGGAUAGAGGACGUUAUUGCAAGUUCCAUGGCACCCAUGGCCAUACCACAGCAGAGUGUAGAGAUCUCAAGACCCAGGUCGAAUAUUUGGUGAGAAAUCGGUACCUAGACGAGUUUAUGGAUGGGACUUUCCCGAUGGUGGCCACAACAGAUGAAGGGGAGCAGAGUGGUAGAAACUUGAGGCGCGAGCAACCCGCAGUAAGGGUGAUAGCUGGAGGCCCAACAUUGGCCGGAGAUUCCAACAGAUCGAGAAAAAAUUAUGCUAGGUACGCCAUGACCAGUAAAGAGGUACUCUUCAACACCCCAGCAGCCAAACGAGCAAGGGUCAGGCAAGUGCCGAUCAUGUGGACGGAUGAGGAUGAGGAAGGUAUUCUAUACCCCCACGAGGAUGCUUUAGUCAUCAAGGCUACUGUCGCUAGCAAGAAGUUUGACCGGAUACUGAUUGAUACAGGGAGCUCAGUUGAUGUCCUAUUUAAGUCAACCCUGGAAGAGAUGGGAGUAACCGACCGGAAGUUGGAAUACACCAAUACCUCCUUGAAGGGGUUCGGAGGAGGGAAGCUGGUCCCACUGGGCAUGGUCGAGCUGUCUAUCACAAUUGGGAGCUCCCCGACAGAAAGAACAAUGAUACUAGACUUUGUCGUAAUGGAUGAGGAAGGUCCUUACCAGAUGAUCCUAGGUCGGCCAUUUUUAAGGAUGAGCAAAGCGGUGUUGUCCAACCAUUAUCUGGCUCUGAAGUACCGGGUGAAUGGGGUAGUGGGGGUGGUACGAGGAGACCAGAGGAUCGCAAGAAGCUGCUACUCCUCGGCAGCAAGGGAAGCAAUGCAGAUAACAUCCCUCGAUACCCGAGUGGAAAACAAGAAUGGCAGACAAGAACCUGUAAAGGAUCUGGAAACAGUAAGCCUGGGACCAGAGAACCCGGGAAAGACGAUCAGAAUCGGGUCGAGACUCAAGGGAGAGCAAAAGCAGGAGUUGGUGAAAUGCUUACAGGCUCAUGCUGAUGUGUUUGCUUGGACACAUGAAGACAUGCCAGGGAUUGACCCUGAGGUAGCAUGUCAUAAGCUGGCAAUAAAGAAAGGUGCUCGGGCAGUAAGGUAGAAGAGGAGGUGCUUCAACCAGGAGAGGUACGAGGCUAUAAAUAGCGAGGUGGAGAAGCUCUUGAGAGCAGGGUUUAUUCGGGAAGUCAGUUACCCUGAGUGGAUAUCGAAUGUGGUGUUGGUAAAGAAGGCAAACGGCAAGUGGAUGAUGUGUGUGGAUUUCACAGACCUCAAUAAGGCGUGCCCAAAAGACAGCUUCCCUUUACCCAAGAUCGAUCAGCUAGUAGAUUCAACGGCUGGACAUGGUCUGCUCAGCUUCAUGGACGCGUUCUCGGGAUACAACCAGAUCCCCAUGUACGAGCAGGAUGAGGAGAGCACGGCUUUCAUCACUAACCAAGGUUUGUUCUGUUACAGGGUAAUGCCAUUCGGUCUCAAAAAUGCUGGGGCCACCUAUCAGAGGCUGGUGAACAAAGUCUUUAAGCCGUUGAUUGGGAAAAUCAUGGAGGUGUACGUGGAUGACAUGAUCACCAAGUCCAAAAUCCCGAAGGAACAUGUCGGACACCUCGAGGAGACAUUCGAGCUUUUGAGGAAGUAUAAGAUGAAGCUCAACCCGGAGAAGUGUGCUUUCGGGGUCGAGUCAGGGAAAUUCCUUGGAUUUAUGGUGAGCCAUAGGGAGAUUGAAGCAAAUCCCGAGAAAAUCCAGGCGAUUGUGCAGAUGACGUCUCCUCGUAACCUGAAGGAGAUGCAGAGCCUCACGGGGAGGUUGGCGGCGUUGAGCAGAUUCAUAUCCAAGGCUACAGAUAAGUGUCAGCCAUUCUUUCAAGUGAUAAGGAGGGGAAAGAAAACAGAAUGGACCCCAGAAUGCGAGGAAGCCUUCCGGAACUUGAAGCAAUACUUGCAGCAAGCUCCGCUGCUGUCCACACCGAGGGAUGGGGACAAGGUGUAUCUGUAUUUGGCGGUAUCGGAUCGGGCCGCCAGUUCUGUUCUGGUGAGAGAGGAAGAAGGAGUUCAAUAUCCGAUAUACUACACCAGUAAGGCCCUGCUCGACGCUGAGACCAGAUACCCACCGUUGGAGAAAUGGGCACUCGCCCUUGUGGUUGCUGCUCAGAAGUUGAGGCCAUAUUUUCAAGCAUUCCCGGUCUCGGUAAUAACAAACCAGCCGUUGCGUCAAACUCUUCACAAGCCAGACGCCUCUGGUCGGCUUGUCAAGUGGGCUGUAGAGCUGAGCGAAUUCGACAUAGACUAUAAAUCCCGCGCAGCGAUAAAGGCCCAGGCAAUGGCCGAUUUCGUAGCUGAAUUCACAGAGCCCGAAGUAUGCUUAGAUCAACAAGAUGCAGUUAUAGGCAAUGACGAAACUCAAGUAUGGCAGAUGUCUGUGGAUGGGUCAUCAGGGGAGCGGGGUUCAGGAGCAGGGAUUGUCUUGGAAGGUCCAGAGGGAGAUGAGAUAUCUUACGCUGUAAAGUUGGAAUUUGCAGCCACGAAUAACCAGGCAGAGUAUGAAGCCUUGAUAGCAGGUCUGGAAUUGGCUAAGGCCGUGAAAGCAGACAGAGUUAAGAUCAGAACUGAUUCCCAGCUGGUUGCGAAUCAUGUCAGCGAAAGAUUCCAACCAAGAGAGGAGAAGAUGGAGCAGUACCUGAAGAUAGUCAGGCAGCUGAUGGGGAAGUUCGAAGCAGUGGAGGUGAUACAAAUCCCCAGGGAGCAGAAUAAUCGAGCAGACAUUUUGGCUAGGAUGGCAGCAGUAGCCGACCCAAAAAUGCCAAAGUCGGUCCCUCUGGAGGUGAAGUCCAGCCCAAGUAUUGAUUAGAAUUUGGGGGUGUUGCGGAUAGAACAAAAAUGUUCGUGGAGGGACCCGAUAGUUUCGUACCUUAGAGACGGGGUGUUACCACCAGAUAAGCUGCGAGCUCGCAAGAUUAGAGCUCAGGCCUCGAGAUACACGAUGAUUGAUGGGGUACUGUAUCGGCGAGGAUAUACACUACCUUUCCUUCGAUGUUUGGAUGAGGACGACGCGGAUUACGUACUGAGAGAAGUACAUGAAGGAAUUUGCGGAAAUCAUUCUGGCGGGAGGUCCCUGGCCUACAAGGUUCUAAGGCAGGGAUAUUUCUGGCCGACAAUGCACCAGGAUGCGCAAGAGAAGACCAGGAGUUGUGUAAGCUGCCAGAGUUUUGCAAAUUUCUCUAACCAACCACCAGAGAAGCUCACCUCCAUGGCCUCCCCUUGGCCAUUUGCUCAAUGGGGAAUCGAUCUGAUCGGCCCAUUGCCGAAGGCACGAGGAGCAGCAACACAUGCAAUAGUUGCUAUAGAUUACUUCACGAAGUGGAUAGAGGUAGAAGCCCUUAGCAGAAUCACUGAGAAGAAAACAACAGACUUCGUGUGGAGAAACCUGGUCUGUCGAUACAGGAUCCCUUAUGCCUUGGUAACGGAUAAUGGCAGGCAGUUCGAUAAUCACAGCUUCAGGGAUUUCUGCCAGAACCUCGGGAUAGAGCUGAAGUAUUGCUCGCCUGCUCACCCUCAAUCGAAUGGACAAGUAGAAGCAGCCAACAAGACCAUCAAGAGGCUUUUGAAAACCAGGCUUGGAGCAAAAAAGGGUGCGUGGGUUGACGAGCUGCCAGGUGUGUUAUGGGCAUACAGAACAACCCACAAAACCGCAACCGGGGAGACACCGUUCGCUUUGGCUUUCGGACACGAAGCGGUCGUGCCGGCUGAGAUAGGAACAACCACACACCGGACAAGCCAUUUCGAUGAGCAGGAGAACGACGAGCAGAUAUGUUUGAAUCUUGAUCUGCUAACGGAAAGAAGGGAGCAAGCAGCCGAACGAUCAGUCAUUUACCAACAGAGGGUUGCUCGGUAUUACAACCAGAAGGUGAACAUACGACAAUUCAGGGUCGGUGACUGGGUACUGAGAAGAGUGAAUCAGAGCACCAAAGAUUCGACUCAAGGAGUGCUGGGACCGAAUUGGGAAGGGCCAUAUAGAGUCAAGCAGAUAGCGGGACCCGGAGCUUACAAGGUGGUUCGCACGAACGGCCACGAGGUGAAACGCCCAUGGAACGCAGCACACCUCCGAAAAUACUUCCAGUAAGGCUUGUACACAUUUGAAAGCUAUUCUUGCUCAUGACAAUUAUCGUUUAUCUUUUACGCUUUAUGUCCAAACAAUUUUAUGUAAGACGAAUCCUGCCAUUAAUGGAACGUCGAGGAGUUUCGUUCGCUUGAAACCGAGAAAAUAGCCUAAGGCAUGCAAAGGCUCGACAAAGUCUCAAAGCCUGUCUUAUGGCGAGACAGGAGCCAAGCAUGCCAGGAUCUGCUCGGCCACGAGAAGGCGAGCAGAAUCCCAAUCCUUGAAGAAAUGCCUAAGGCAUGCAAAGGCUCGACAAAGUCUCAAAGCCUGUCUUAUGGCGAGACAGAAGCCAAGCAUGCCAGGAUCUGCUCGGCCACGAGAAGGCGAGCAGAAUCCCAAUCCUUGAAGAAAUGCCUAAGGCAUGCAAAGGCUCGACAAAGUCUCAAAGCCUGUCUUAUGGCGAGACAGGAGCCAAGCAUGCCAGGAUCUGCUCGGCCACGAGAAGGCGAGCAGAAUCCCAAUCCUUGAAGAAAUGCCUAAGGCAUGCAAAGGCUCGACAAAGUCUCAAAGCCUGUCUUAUGGCGAGACAAAAGCCAAGCAUGCCAGGAUCUGCUCGGCCACGAGAAGGCGAGCAGAAUCCCAAUCCUUGAAGAAAUGCCUAAGGCAUGCAAAGGCUCGACAAAGUCUCAAAGCCUGUCUUAUGGGGAGACAAAAGCCAAGCAUGCCAGGAUCUGCUCGGCCACGAGAAGGCGAGCAGAAUCCCAAUCCUUGAAGAAAUGCCUAAGGCAUGCAAAGGCUCGACAAAGUCUCAAAGCCUGUCUUAUGGCGAGACAGAAGCCGAGCGUGCCAGGAUCUGCUCGACCGCGCGAAGGCAAACCGAAUCCCAGGCAUUGAAAAAUCUUCAAAGGCAUGUGGCAAAACCAUGGGCCAAGCCGGAACCUGCUCGUCUAGACAAAGACAAGCAGAUUCUCAAACGAAAAUUAACUCAUAAUUACAACACAAGAAAGUAAUCAAAAAACAUUUUUAUUAAUUUGUUAAUGAUUAACAGAGGGGAUAAUCUUCAUGAAUAUUGUCCAUUACAAUAAAAGAAAUAUAUCAAAAAGACGGUGGAUCAGUGAGCCGAGCAGCAUCGGUUGGCUAGACCUCCUCAGGUGCAGGGGGGUAUCACCAGUUGCGUCCGGGGGGGUGCUCGCCUCGCCAACAUCAGCAGGGACUGCACGAGGAGGGACUGCACGAGGAGGAGAGUUUUCCUCCUCAAUCACGAUCGGCUCUACCCCAUCGGCAUCUUCCUUAGCCGCCUCUUCGUCCAUGUGUUGAGCAACACCAGCUGCAAGGUCAUCCAUCUUCAGAUCAGGGUGUUGCUUCCCGAGGAUGGCCAUGAUGCAACGAUAGGAAUGCCGAAGGCCCUGGUCGUACUGGUUGUCAGCCUCCCUCUCCAAGUUCUCGACCUGAGCUCGGUGGGAGUCGCGGAGAGAUUCGAGCUGAGCCUCAUACGUAGCCUUCUGCCUUUGCAGAUCCUCCUUGACCUUGGUAAGCUCCUCCUCGAGGGAAAUGGCUUUUGCUUGAGCAAGUGAUUCUUGCUCUAUCAGCUUCAGAUUCUCGAGAUUCAGCUCCCAUGCUUUCUUCUCGGCAACGUCAGCCCUGGUCGUCGCCAAUUGAAUAUCCUCUUUCAUCUUCCGGUCGUAGCGGCCAACCUUAGCCUUGUAAUAGGUGGUCAGGCAGCUGAGGUGGAAAGCGCUAUGCUGCAUGGCCCCCACCAGCUCACCCAAGAUGCGGCCGUCAAAGUCCUCCAGGUCCUUCUUGCUCACGAGUUUAGUUAACUCAUUGAGGUAGGGGACCAGAUGUUCUGCUCGGCUGUCAGGUAAGCGAGACCGAGGCCCGACAGGAGGAGAAGAAGAAGAAGCAGGAUCUGUGGCUGCUCCACUAGCUUCCCCGACUUUUACAGGAGCAGGAGGUAAAGUCUUCAAGGGUGGGACCUGCUGCACGAUGUUGGCCCGCUUUGCAGCAGGGGCAUCCUUACUCUGGUCCCUCUUCGUGGUUGGAGGUCGAGAACGUUUUCGGGUCAGAGCCCCAAUCACAGCGUCCUCCAUCUUAUGGCCAGGAAGUAUCAAGCGAGACUCGAGCAAGUUGUAUGUAGUUAACAGUUCUCGGCUCGAGCAGGAAUUGGCUAGUACAGCCUCGACCCGUUUAAGCUGGUCAGGUUCAAGCGGGAAGUGGACACCCCAAGAAACUACAACACAAACAGACACUUGGUUAGAGACAAGCCAAUAAAGCAAGAACAAUUAUGAACGCAAGACAUCUAGAGCGAGCAGGCAACCUGGGACCGUGAAACGGGGUGGGACGCGACAAUCCUUCCCGUCUAUUUGUGCAAUUUGACCCCAAGGACCCCCAGCAAAAAAGAAUUUCCUCUUCCAAGCCCCACCACCACCGGUUGGAAGAUCGGUUAUGGGUUUCCGGCUCUUGGUGCUAGAUUGGAAGUAGUACCAGCCGGCAUCUUUUGGGCUGCUCUUUAGCUGGUACAAGUGCUUCACCUCAUCAACCGUGGGCUCGCUUUGGCAACAUCUGUCCCACAAUAUGAACAGACCAGAGAGCACUCUCCACCCAUUGGGAUUCAGCUGACCAGGAGCUAGAUUUAGCCCGUUAAGUAUCCGGGCAAAGUAGGGUUGCAAGGGACACCUCAGCCCGUACUUAAAGCUCUCUAGAAACAGGGUAACGUACCCCCUAGGAGGCCGGCUGGGAGCAUCCUUCUUUUCUGAGACCUUGAGAGGUAUCUCACCAGGAAUGCUAUACCUAAGCCGGAGGUCAUUGAGCUCGUCAAACAGGGUCGUGCACGUCAUGUAAUCAAUGGCAUAAUCGCGCGACAAGGCUCUGCCUCCUACUGUACCCCGUCCUUCUGGUCGUGAUGUUCCAGAUGGAGACACCUCACCAGAGUCACCUUCCCCAUUCUCACUUAAGGUGUCCUCAGAGCCAGAAGGUCCCUCCUCACCAUUACUUCCGCUCGUAGAGGUUGUUUGGGGAGACAUCCUCCUAGCACUAGUCCUGACACUAGACCUAAUGGGUUCUAAGGGGAUCCCGGGGUCAAAAGCAGGAUCGGUGAGCAGACUAGGCAGGAAGUCCAACUCGUCGUCAUCGACCUCAAUGACCUUCUCUUUGCCUUUCGACAUUCCCUAAGCUCUAACCGCAACACCACCAACUACUACCCAAACAGAAGAAAAGAGAAAUUAUCUACAACUAUCCGAGACCAAGGAAACAGAAGAAAUACCUGAAGUAAUGGUUCAGUCGGUGAAAGUCUGAGAUGGAGGCCUUUUAUGCCGGAACUUCUUUGCCGGAGAGGCAGAGACGGAGACGGAGUGAAUGAUGAAUAUGCCGUUCGAGAGGGUUUGGCUUUCCUAAUGAGGACGGACUCUUGGGUUGCCAGCAUUUAAUAGCGCCGAAUCCCGAGGGUCUCAUAACCGUCGGUUUGAAAUUCAAAUGGAGGGAGGGAUUUCUGCCACGUCACCUCGUCCGCAAUUAAAUGCGACAUGACUCUUGGCAGCCUUUUUCAAUCCUACGCGAGCGAUAACUAUCGAGUUUCUACUGCUGGUCCACUACAUUACCCAACACCAGAAACUGGGGGACCGGUGUUUGGGAGAAAUACUGUUUGGGAUAAAGACGUCGACGAGACCAGGCACGGUGAGCAGAUAUCUGAUGGCAGAGUUCUGCGAACAGGUGUGUUCCGUAAAGGCCUGGUGCGCGGAAGAACAGGAGCAGAAAUAUCCGGCUCGUCCACGAGCACGUCAUCCGCGAGGCCAAUUUCCUGUAAGAGGCAUAAGGCCAUUUCGGCUAGAGGCCGAGAGGCGAGGAGACCCGGUCGACGGCAGUUGGCAGGACAUGCUCUCCAGCCCGAGAAUCUAGGCACGACAGCCACGCUUUCCCCUGAACCGUGGCGUAACACGCAAGAUCUCACAGAACCACGACAGCCACGCUUUCCCCUUAACCGUGGCGUAACACGCAAGAUCUCACAGAACCACGACCGCCACGCUUUCCCCUGAACCGUGGCGUAACACGCAAGAUCCCACGCUUGCCCAUAACGCAGCAGUCGGAGUCCCAUACCGUCUCGGAAAAAAGCGAAAAACGGGGAUUCAGGAAGCCUAUAAAAAGGUAGCCAACGAAGGUAAAAGGGUUAGCAUUUUUGAGAUAAAAGAAAAAAACCACGAAAAAGCCAUAAGAUCUGUGGCAAAACGUUCCCCGAACCUUCAUAUUUGACUUAAGCGUCGGAGGGUUUGCGCUGGGAAAACAACCGGCGUACUCUGACUUGUCCGUGUGUGCAGGGACAUCUGGAAAAAAAAGGCCUCACGAGGAGACCUCCUGGUCGUGGUGAAGUUGAUCGAGCAGAGAUCCUGAUCGUAGAACGAGGAGAACCAGAAUCUCGCAUCAACAUCUAAACCAAAAUGAGUUGCGUGGAUCUUAUUCUCAGUAAUUGGCCCCCCAAAAAAAAAAAAAAUUCAACUCCCACCAUGUUAAUCAAAGCCGAAAUAUAACUAAGCAUUUAUGAUCUAACAAGGAAAUGUACAUGUACCUCCAUCCUGGAAUAUAGACUGAACGAAUAACUUGUAUUGUGAGUUCAGCUAGCUCUGAUUGGAGCUGGAAAAUCCGUCUUCCUUCUUCAUAAUUACUCCCAAAAGCAGUUCGAGAAAUCACAUCCCCUGUCAAAUUUGCAAGAUAAGGCCAUACAUCCAACUCACAUGAUCCUUCAGUAGACAUUAGCUUCUCCCACUCUGUAAUUAUGUCACUACUACUUUGGCAGAAUGCUGGCAACAUAAGCUGUAAUGAGAGCAAGAAAUCAAAAUGAAAAAUGAAGGGAAUAUGGAAUUUUCCAAUGAGAUUUAUGUAAACAGAUAAAGAAAUUAAUAACCUUGAGCUUCUCUUGGCGGAAUGCUGGGUUGAUAAUUUUUCUGUGUUUAGCCCACUGCUCACCCUCAUAGUUAACCAAGCCAACUCCCAGUAUCCUGGCAAGUGGGUUUGAAUUGAUUUUUGGAAAAUCAUUGAUCUUGGUAAAUAUCUCUUUUAUUUGAUCAGGAUUCGUUAUAUUCACCCUUGGUGUCGGACCAAACCACAUGAAAGAAUUCUUACCUGCAUUAGUUUUUUAACAUUAUAUAUGCAAAAGUUAGAGGGCAGAUGCUCCAUUGCGCAUGGCCACAGUUUAAGCAGUAAAAGUUCAGUGAUUUUAUUCAAAACUUAGUCAAGAAUAAAUGCCAAUUGAUUUUACUUCAAUCAUUAAACUUCUAUUCCAAAUAACUAGGCCUACUACAAGGUAAGAAGUUACAUACAUGGUGUGAUUUCACAAGAUUUUGCAAAUGAUGUUGAAACUACAUAACGCUAUCGUGCACUGUACGGGGAGUAACACCACCCACAGACCAAUUUUCCCUCUGGGCACUUUACACGUGGCAUAGCUCAUCAACAGGUUGAGUUAGAGCAACUAUCCCAUCUUAUCGAGAAAAUUAUUGGUCUCUCGUAGGGGUAGACAUUCGGUUGGGGCAAUAAAAAAUCAAAUGAUUCAUAAAUCUCCAAACCAAUUGGUUUUUAUUUAAUUCCAACUAAAUUGAAAACCCAAAUGGUUCCGAGAGAAAAAUUAAAACUCACAAAUUUAAAUUGACGAUUGAACUUUGAAAUUUCUCCUAUGUGAUUUUGUAUUGUUAUUUUCUUGUUUUAUUUAUUGUUGUGAAUUUGUAAUUUGUAGUGAAUUUGUAAACUAUGUACGUUUCAUGUUGUGUCUUUAUUAUGUUGAUUUAUUUAUAUUAAAUUUUAUUAUGUAGUUUAUUAUUCGUGGAUUUAUAGGCUUAAAAUUGUUGUUAUAGUAAUAUUAUAUUAUUAUAUUUUUUUUUGAAUAAAUAUACAAGUAAAGUUUGUAUUAAUAUAUAUAUAUAUAUAUAUAUAUAGAAGUAAAAUUGCUUGGACUAAAUAAAAUCAAAACUAAACCCAAUCAUAAAAUCAAACCGACCUAAAUUAAUUCGGACCAAUUCAAUUCUAGUAUUUGAUUCGUGUUCAAUGCACAAAAUGAUAAAUCAAUUGAUUUUAGUUUAGUUCGGUUUUCAACCAGAGCCGAACUAAACUAGAUACUUCCCAAUCUCUACAUACAUGUAGCUUUUAGAGACAAAAUUCCAAGGGGUGGCCUACCACCUCAAGUGCCACACAUGUUCUGUGAUUUAGCAGAGGAGUGGGUACCUAAUCGGGAUCCACUUCCAGUCCCACAAGGAAACGGCUGAGCAUCAGCGGUCAAUCCCACCCUACCUCACCGAAGUUUCUCUCAUAGCAUUAAUGUUUAAAAACGUUUAUCACUAUAUAUAACGUUUCUUCAUAAUAAACAAAGAAUAAUGGAUAAAGCACAAGGAAAGCUGCAUCAUCGAUAUCCCAGACCUAUAAUUAGUUCUUUCUUUGUUCGAAGGAGAUUAAAAUUAUGUUUUAACCCAUAAAAAUUUUCAAGAACCAACUUUUUAUGUCAUACUUUAACUGAUAUUUAUAAUCAAAAUCCAAUUUUUAGUUUAUAAUUAUAACUCUAACGAACCUUCUAAAUUAACUUUGUAAAUAAUGACACCGUUCUAAUAUUGGAUUUCAGGAGGAAGCUACUUCUAAGUAUUUGAAAGGGGUCACACAGCCAACCAAUGAGUGGAUUGGCUGCUACCUACUGAAAUUGGAAACAAGUAAAAGAGAAUAUGAGGCCGCUGACAUACAUACCAUAAUCCUUGAACAGUUUGGGAAGGAAUGGAUUAACACGAACUGCAGCGUCAUCAUCCAAACUGAGAGGUCUGGCUUUUGCUUUCUUCAACAUGAUGGAACUUUCUUUCAAGUCACCAAACAGAAGCCUGUAAGAAUUGCCUUUUAAACCUUGCUGUCUCAGGAAUUUCUCCAGCUUCUUGGGCCUCAGCCACAACCAGUUCAGCACCAUCCAUGCCCAUGUUACCAAUGUUACAAUGACAAUGGUGAACGCUAUGGAUUUCAGAGUCAAUUCCAUUUCACGCUCAGAAAUUUUUUAAGUGUUCUGAGAAAUGGGAGAGUAUAUAUCUUUGAGGUUGGAAGAUUGGUUUAAAGUGACGGACAAAAUCAUUUUUGUCUGCAUGUGUUUGAUGGACCAGAUACUAUCUCCAACAAGUGGUGUUAAAAGAGAAUACGGGUCUAAUAUUUUAUACAACUGUAUUGUCAUCUUUGUGUACUUGUCACUCAAGAUUUUGUUCUAGAACCAUAGAGUGUAUGGUUCGGUUAAUUAUAUGUUCUAAAAAAUAAACUAAAAUGUCAUCAAAAAUAAAAUUAUGCGUGUGGAUAUGUAAAUAAGAAUUUCAAGUAAUGACAUCUGUACUCUUAAAAUUUAUGAAUUUAUUAUUAAACCGUGUGUUGGUUAACCAUUGUUCAAUCGUAAGUAGAUAAAAAGGUUUAACAAGGACGUAGCUAGGAUCAAAAUUGAGUUGGGGCACAUUUAAAAUCGAACAUGAUCAGGGAUACAACUAUUUGUGUGAUAAGUUCUCAUUUGACGAGUAGUGUUGUGUGUCUUACAACUCUCAAAUGGGUGAUUGUCACAUACGCAAUCGUACUCCAUAAGGUGUGUGACUGCACGCACUUGAUUAGUACUUCAUUUAAAAUAUAAUAUAAUUUAAAAAAAAUUAUAUAGCAAUAAAUAACAUGUCAAUUAUAAUAUUCAUUGAUAUUAAAUUUACUCAUUACAAUUGUCCUUUGUUGAAGGCUCCUCGAUGGGAUUUAAUGUGUUGAAGAUAACAUGAAACAGUUUCAUUAUUAAUAUAAUCAAAAGCAAAUUUUUCAAUGCAUAAAAUUAAGUUAUCACUUAAUUUAUUCUUUAAAUUAAUUUAUUCUCUAAAGUCUUUUUAUGAUAGCAAAUAUGUUCAUAAGAGUUAACAUGAAUACAUGAUAAAACUAGGAAUUUUCUAGACAAAAGGUCAAUUGGAAUAAUUGAAAAUUAAAAUUAACUAGAGUUAGAAUUUAGGGAUCAAUAUUAAAAAACUAAAUAAUUGUAGGAAAGUGCCUUUGAUUUAUGGGAACUAGAAUGAAAUCCACAUACGGACGCAUAUGCACUGCUCUGAUCGACUAUUCUACUACCACUGUAACAAAUAAAUAAAUAAAGAGUAAAAAGAGUAAAAUGAAUUUCUUUUGUUUAUUUAGUUUUUUAUUUAUUUUAAUAUCUACAGUCUUUCGUCUUGAUUUAACUUUCAUAAUAUUUAAAAUUUAAACUAGGAGUAACAUGAAAUCUUUUAAAAUUGUUUGGCACACUUUCAUAAUUUUUUAUUUUAGCUAGAGCACUUAAAUAAUAAAUAAAAUAAUUUUUUAAAUAAUUAUAAAAAAAAAUUCAAAAGCAAGCUGGGGCAUGGGCCCAAAUUGGUCCCAUGCUGGAUUUGUCCAUAGUUUAACUUGAAAUUUUUAGUCAAAUGGUGGAUUUUUAUACUCUCACUUUAGUAAGGGCAUAGGUUUAAGUUCUCACGUUAAGGACUCGAUUAUUCCUCUUCCAAUUAAAAAUGAGUAGAAAUAUCCCCUUUAUUGUUGUCGAUAAAGUAAAUAUUUCUCUAAUUUGUGAGGAUAGAAUUCGAAUAGUGUCAUAAUAGAUUUGAAUUAAGGUAGUGCUAGUGUAUUUUUAACUGUAAAUAGAGCAUUAUAACAGCUUCAAAAUUUUUAAUGUCAAGCUUCCAAGCUUCAUUUCUUUUCGAAUAGCUCGACCAGUAUAGCUGCUGGGGGAUAAAGCUUGGGCAUCAAUAUCCCACAUUACUUAUAUAGUGUGGUAUUUCUAAAUACCAAUACCCCACAUUGUUUAGAUAAGAGAGUAUAAGUUGAUUUAUAUAUAGAAACUAAAUAUAAUGUGGUAACAAGUCCAUAAAAAGAAGGCCCACGUACACGAAACCAAGUCCAACAGAGGAGCCCGUUCCCAAAAACCAAUAACUCAUGUGCAGGGGGCCCACCUCCCUCAUGGAAUUAUUUUGCAUGUGCGUGGGCUUAGUCAUCUUUUAGUUUUUGCCCUUUUUAUUUUAUUUAUUUUAAUUCAAAUUACAUUGAGAAUUUGAUUCCUAAUCAAAUUAUGAUUCAAUCAAAUCCUUUUAUAUGUAAAAUUUAGAUUUAGACCGGAAGAAGGGGCUAGGGCUUGCAUUUAUUCAAAGAGCUCAAUAUAUCACACUAUGGUCAUUCGAAAACUUGUUCUCUUGUCCUAUGUUUUCCUUUUCUUCGUUGUUGUAUGUUUUGCUAUUCUAAACUAUCAUGUUGAAGUGCAACAUCGAGAUUAAAUCGCUUUUAUCAGUCCAUCUUGCACUGAGAUAUUGGAUCUUGAGGUGUAAAAUUUGAUCUUAAGGACAAUGCUAUCGCACGCCUUUACUAUUUGCUAUUUUUCAUCAAAAUUUCACUGUUUUUGGUCCUAAAAUUCCAACAAUCUUAAGAUCAAAUAUGAGUGAUAUUCAACCACAAAAUCUGUCUUCAUUAGCUGUUGGACAUGAUGCUCCCGCAACCUCUAGACUUAUUGUUCCCACUAUCGAUCUUCUUGCAGUUGCUUCCACUAUAAUCACUAGAAAAAAAAGAAAAAAAAAACUUGCCAAACACCUCCAAGAUUGAACUGUUCAAUGGCGAAAAUUUCAAGCACUGGCAAAAAAAGGUCUUUGAUGUACUAGAUGUUCAUGACCUUGCUAACUAUCUACAUUCAUCACCACUUGAAGAGGGCAUUGAAGAUAAUGGAAAGAAACUCCAGAAUUAGAAUACUGGUAACAAGGUCUACAAGUACACAAUAUUGAAUACUCUUGCUAGUUCUCUUUUCGAUGUUUACUAUUCAUAUAAGAAUGUGUCUGAGAUAUGGGCACUACUUAAGAAAAAAUAUGUGGUUGAAAGUGUUAGAACUCAACAAUAUUAAAACCUCAAAGCAUAAGAAGAAGCAAGUGAAUCUUGAAGAUGUUGUUAUAUAUAUUAAGAUUGAAGAGAAGAACAGAAUUAGAGAUGCAUUUGAUAAAGUAAAGGAAUGUCAUUCCAAUGCAAAUCUAAUAGAGAACACUCAUCAACCUAAUAAAAAGCAGAACAGUCUUAAUAAUAAACACAUUAAUAACUCCAAAAGGCCCAUUGCUAAGAAGAAAGGUCAUUGUUUUGUUUGUGGAAAAAUUAUGUAUUAUGCUCAUCAAUGCAAGCAUAAAGCUAUGAGAAAGGAAGACAACAAAAAACCUCUUAAAGCCAAUAUGGUUGAAGGAGAAGGAGAUGACACAUUGUUGUUGUAGUUGUCUCUGAGGUGAACAUGGUGGAUGGAAGAAAAGAUUGGGUGAUUGAUUUUGGAGCUACUAGACAUAUAUAUAUAUAACAAUAAAAACUCUUUUUUUGACUAAAUCCAGUGCGGGAAGGAGAGCAAGUUAUUUACGUUGGUGAUUCAUGAUCUACUUUAGUCCUAAGCAAAGGUAAAAUUCUUCUCAAGCUUACAUCUAGGAAAACCCUCUCAUUGAGUAAUGUACUCCAUGUUCCUAAGAUCAAAUACAAUCUGUUAUUUGUUUUUAUGUGGGUAAAACUGGGUUCAAAGUGUCCUUUGAGGUGAUAAAAUUGUAAUUACAAAAAUAUGAUAUUUGUUGAUAAAGGGUAUUGUUCUAGAGAACUCUUGAAAGUUAAUGUAUCCAAUGUCAUAAUAAACGAAAAGGCUUCUUCUGCUUGUGUAGUUGACUCUAUUGAUUUUGGCACAGGAGACUUAGUCAUAUGAAUUUUUCUUAUAUUAAUAAAAUGAGAGAACUUGGGUUACAGUCUAAUUUGAGCUUAUCUAAUGACAAAUGCAAGGUGUGUGUUGAAGCCAAAUCCACUAAGAAGACAUGUAGAUGAGUUCAAUAUAGAGAAAUUGAACUUCUCAAUUUAAUUCACAACGACCUUGAUGAUUUGAAACAAACCAUGACUAGAGAAGGCAAAAGGUAUUAUAUUACUUUUAUUGAUGAUUUUUUUAGAUAUACAAAAUUAUAUCUAUUAAGAAAUAAAAAUAAAGCAGGUGAAAAGUUCUUAGUCUAUAAAAGUGAAGUUGAAGAUCAAUUUAAUAAGAAAAUUAAAAGAUCAAGAACUAAUAAAGGAGGUGAAUAUGAUUCAAGCAUAUUAAAUGCUUAUUGUGAGAAUCAUUGUAUCAUCCAUGAAGUGAUACCUCUCUAUUCACCUGAAUCUAAUGGUAUAGCUAAAAGGAAAAACAAAACUUUGAAGAACACGGUAAAUGUUAUGAUAAUAAGUUCUAGGGCACUGCUGAAAUUAUAAGAGGAAGCUAUGUUAUUUGCCUGUCAUAUUCAAAACAAAAUACCUUAUAAGGAAAUAGGCAAGACACCCUAUGAAUUAUGGAGAGGCUAUAAGUAUAACUUAUCACACCUCAAAGUAUAGCGGUGUCUAGCCAAAGUUCUUAAAAUGGAUCCCAAAAAAUAAGGUUAGGACAAAAAACUAUCAACUGUAUGUUUAUAGAGUAUGCCCACAAGAGUGUUGCCUGUAGGUUCUUGGUGUUACAUGAUAAAAGUAUCUCAUUUGAGGCUAAUACCAUCAUUGAAUCCAAGAAUGUUAAGUUCUUUGAAUCUAUUUUUCUUUAAAAGACUAGCAUUGAGAAAUAAUUAUCCUAUACCGAGUCAACAAUUGAUUCUUCUGAAAGUUCAAAUGUGAAACUAAGAAAAUGCACCAGGAUGAGAAAAGCUACAGUGAUGAUUUCUAUAUCUUUCUUGCGGAAAAUGAUCCUCGGACCUUCACAGAAACUAUGACUUCUCAAGAUGCACUAUAGUGGAAAGAAGCUAUCAACAAUUAACUAAAAUCUAUAAUGAGCAAUCAUGUAUGGGAAUUAGUUUACUUACCUCUAGGUAUAAAACCUAUUAGGUGCAAGUGGAUUUUCAAAAAGAAAUUAAAAGUUGAUGGAUAUAUUGAUAAAUAUAAAGCAAGAUUGAUGGCCAAAGGAUUCACAUAGAAGAAAUAUAUAGAUUAUUUUGACACCUAUGCUCUUGUAACUCGGAUUGCAUCUAUUAGAGUUUUGAUUGCUCUUACAGUAAUUCAUAAUCUACAUGUGCGUCAAAUGAAUGUUAAAACUGCCUUUCUCAAUGCAAACUUAGAUGAGGAGUUUCUAUAUGGAUCAACCUGAAGGUUGUAUAGUUCUAGGUUCUAGCAUAAGGUGUGCAAGUUGGUUAAGCCUCUAUAUGGCUUAAAAUAAGCACAGAAACAGUGGCAUGAGAAAUUUGAUCAAGUAUUGUUGUCCAAUGGAUAUACAAUUAAUGAUUUAGACAAAUGUAACUGUUCUAAAUCCAUUAACACUAAUGUUUUUCUCAUCAUAUGUCUCUAUGUUGAUGACAUGUUUAUUUUAAGUUCCAAUGUUGGAACUAUUAAUGAGAUUAAGGAGAUGCUUGAAUGUAAUUUUGAUAUGAAAGAUAUGAUAGGGGCAAAUGUUAUUUUAGGCAUCAAAAUUAUAAAGGUUUGUGAUGGUCUCAUGUUAUCGCAAGAUCAUUAUGUUAAAAAAUUGUUAAUGAGAUUUACGUAUUAUGAUUGCAAAACAAUGUCCCUUCCGCGUAUAAUGAUAAUACCCACAUAAAGAAGAAUACCGAACAUAGUGUUGAUCAAGUGAGGUAUGCCCAAAUAAUUGGUAGCCUAAUGUACUUAAUGAAUUGUGCAAGACCUAACGAUAAUCACUUGACUGCAGUAGCCAGAAUGGCUAGAUAUUUAAGAGGAACCAUUGAUUAUAGGCUUAAAUAUGGUAGAUCUCCAUAAGUACUUAAAGUGUAUAGUGAUGCAAAUUGGAUAUCUGAUCAAAUAAGCUCAAAUCCACUAGGUUAUGUUUUCAUCCUUGAUAAAGGUGUAGCAUCUUAGAAAUCAUCCAAGCAAACCUGUAUAGCUCGUUCUACCAUGGAGUUCAAGCUAAUUGCUUUAGAAAAAGCAUGUUUUGAGGCUAAGUGGUUGCAAAACCUCUUGGCAAAUCUUCCCAUGUUUGCUCACUAUCCUACUACUAUGCCAAUCCAUUGUGAUUGUCAAGUUGCUAUUGUAAGAGAUAGAAUAAAAUAUAUAAUAAAAAGAGUAUAGACAUUAUGAGACAUAGUAUCGUUAAACAGCUACUGGAAUCAGAUGUUAUGAGCCUAAAUUUUAUAAGGUCAAAGUUGAAUUUGGCCGAUCCUCUAACAAAAACACUAAACAAGAGUUUAGUAGAGAUCACAUCAAGGGAGAUGGGACUACUGUCUAGAUCAAAAGACAAGAGUGAUGGUAACCCUACCUAUGUGAUUGGAGAUCCCAUGAAGAACAUUCAAUAAGUUACUUGUUGUUUUGUAACACUAUCAAUAUUAUGUAAUCUUAUUUUUAUUCAAUAAAGAUUUUCUUUAUUUAUAGGUCCUCCCAAUAACAAGAUAAUGUCUAUCGCAAUGAUUUAGGUAAAACAAUUGAGCUUUUAAUGAACUCCAUAACUCACUUUUUAUGUAUGAUUGUGUGUCAAAACUGCAUGACAUACUUGAUGGAGGUUCACCUAUGUUAGUGUGGAAUUAGAUAAGUUCCUAUGAGAGUUAAACAUGCUUCUCUAGAGCGCUCAUGAAUACAAGGGAACAGGGCCACUAAAAUGUCAAACCGUAGAACAACAAAACAUUGAGAGAGUUUAAUGUGAGCUUCUAUUCCUCUGCCUUACAAAAAAAGAAUAUUGGUUUAUAGAAAUUAUCAGUUUCACCAAGUUCCUAUGACACAUGGUUAGUUAUUCAAUGGCCAAUUCAUAGCCCAAAAGGCACCAGUUCAUAUGCAUUAAACUCUAUGGACAAUGAUGAAGUCGAAAGAAAGUGAGUAUUUUAAAAUAUGUGGAGGAUUGUUAAAGAUUGAGUCGGUAUUUUAAAAUACCAAUAUUCCACAUUGCUUAGACAAGAGAGUAUAAGUUGGUUUUUAUAUAGAUACCAAAUAUAGUGUAGUAACAAGCCUAUGAAGAGGAGGCCCAUAUGCAUGAAACCAAGCAUGAGAGAGGAGCUCAUUCCAUGACUCUAUUAAUUGGUUGCUCGUACCCAAUAACUCACUCGCAAUGGGGACCCUCCUUCCCCCCAUGGGGUGCCGUGUAUAUGUGUGGGCUUGGCCAUUUAUUAUGUUUUUGUCCUUUGUUUUAAUUUUAUUUAUUUUAAUUUGAAUUAAAUUGAGAAUUCAAUUCCUAAUCGAAUUAGGAUUUAAUAAAUAUAAUUAUAAUUCGAAUUUAGAGAGAAAAAAGGGGUUAGAGCUUGUAUCUAUUUAAAGAGCCAAAUAUAUCACACUAUGGUCAUCCGAAAACUUACUCUCUUGCUCUCUUCAUCCGAAAACUUACUCUCUUGCUCUCUGUUCUUCGUUGCUCUAUGUUUUCCUUUCUUUCGUCAUUGUACGUUUUGCUAUUCUAAACUAUUAAGUUGAAGUGCAACAUCACAAUCGUAAUAGCAAUUGUAUCAUAGAGAUCAAACUACUUUUGUUAGCCCUUCUUGCACCGAGAUAUUGCAUCUUGAGAUAUAUUAAGGACAGUGCUAUCGUCCGCCUUAAAUGUUUGUUGUUUCCGUCCAAAUUUCAUUGUUUUUCAUCCUAAAAUUCCGACUGCUAGACCAGUAUAACUACUGGGGAUAGAGCCUGGGUACCUUGUAGAAUAUCAUUUGAACGUGUAAGAUAUGCACACAAAAUGCAAAUUAAUACGACCAAAAUUUAUCAACUAUAGUAAAGCAUAUUUCAACUCAAUUUCAUUCGUACUUACAAUUUUGAGGUGAUUCAAUCCAUCAUAAUAGGGCUUAUUAUUGCCAAAAACUUGCAAAACCUCUUUUCUUGCACGUUCUUGCCAAUCUUGAUGCUUGCUCAAUAGCAACCUUGUCCAAUUAAGCAAAACACAGGUAGUCUCUUGGCGAGCAAAGUAAAAUAGCUUGCACUUUUCGAUCACAUCGUUGAAGCUUAUUCCAACAUUUUUGUUGUUUCCAUGUUCUUCAAUUUCUCUAAAAUUGGUCUCCAUCAGUAUGCCAAGUCAUCAUUUCCAGCUUCCUCUGCUUUCUUUGCUUUCUCUCUGUUUUUUAUGAUUCCCAUCAGUGAAGCUCGUAUUUGCUUUCUGAUGGUACCAGCCAGCCUAUAAGAAAUAGGAACAAUAGAAAAUACAAGAACGUAUUGAAUGCACUAAUCAAAUCCUACUUAUCGAUUUCAACAAUAUGAUUAACAUCUUAGAUUAACCAUAUGACGACAUGGAUCGAAGUUAUAAGCCCAGGAUGGGUCAAACCUACUUCCAUAUUUUUGGAAGAAAAUCAACUCCUACAUUGCUAAUUACUCCCAGAAGCCGUCCUCAGAAUCACAUCACUAGUUAAUUUUGCAAGAGAAGGCCGUGCACCCAACUCACACGAUCCUCCUUUAGACGUCAGGUUUUCCCACUUUGUAAUUAUUUCACUACAACUUUGGUAGAACGCAGGCAACAUAAGUUGAAACGAAACAGAAAGAAAUUAAAAUGAAGACAUUUAUGUAAACAAAUGAAGAAAUCAAUUAAUAACCUAGAGCUUCUCUUGGUGGAACUGGUUGAUAAGAUUUCUAUAGUAACCCACUUGUCACCUCAUGGCUAACCAAUGCAAGUGCCAAUAAUCUGGCAAGUGGAUCUGAAUUGAUUUUUUGAAAAUCAUUGAUCUUGGUAGAUAUCUCUUUGAUUUGAUCGGGCUUCACAAUAUUCAACCUUCGCGUCGGACCGAACCACAUAAAUGAAUUAUUGCCUGCAUCAAUUUUUAAGCUCUGGUUAUUUUGCUCGUGGCAUAACUUACCACAGCUUGAGUUACACCCAUUGGCCCAUGAUAUCAAGAAAAUUAUUGGUCUCGCAAACAACAUAGCUCAAAUGUUUCAACACCAUACAUAUUUUCUUCAUUAAUUAAAAAAAAUUACGUUUUAACCCAUAAAAAUAUUCAAGAAUUAUCUUGAUGUGUAUGAUCUCUACUAACUACAUUUAUAACGAGAAGUCUAUUUGGAUUUCUUCCACUUAUAUCAGCUCUACAAUUGUGCAAACUGAAUUAGUUUUAUUAAUAAUGGCACAAUCCAGUCGAGAUAUUAUCGUCUAAACUUUCUUUCAAGUCACCAAACAGAAGCCUGCAAGAAUUGCCUUUGAAACCUUUGCUGUCUCAGGAAUUUCUCCGGCUUCUUGGGACCCUCAGCCACACCCAGUUCAGCACUCUCCAUGCCCAGUUCCCACUGUUACGAUAACAAUGGUCAGGUCUAUGGAUUUCAGCGGCAAUUCCAUUUCACACAGAGAGAUUUUUGAAGUGUUCAAAGAAAUGAGACUUGCCUACGUGGUAGAUUAGUUGAAAGUGAAUUAAAAACAUUUUUUCGUUUGCAUAUGUUCAAUGGCUUUUCUUAGUUUCGAAUUUUCCUGUACCAUUAUAUUGUCUCCAGCUAAUGGUACACGUGUCAAUAUCAAUCAUGCAUGUGGUGAUCUUUGUGGACUUGUCACUCAUUGACUGUCUUCUAUAGAACUAGAGAAUGUAAGUUCGGUUAAUUAUUUGAAAAAAAAAAUUGUUUACCCCUAAUACAUUAAUUAUUCUCAAAAUAUCCUCAAACUAUAAUAAACAUUAAUCAAUCCACAAUUACUAUUAAGAAGGUAAAAAAAGAAAAAAGAAAUCAUCAAUCGUUCCCAUUUGAUCUUAUUUUUUGAAUGAUCAUUAGGGUAAAUUAAGGUUUACAAGAAUUUAGAGAUAACUGAAAUUAACAAAAAAUAAAUAAAAUAAAACUCAUCUAAAUAAAUUAUGCAUGGUGGGCCUAUUUGCCCUUUAAAACAUACUCAAAAUAUACUAUUAUUUAUGUAUACUCAUUUACUUAUUUUAUAAAAAGGGUGGGGCUAUUUGCACUCUUAACAUUACUAGAAUAUUCUUAUUUUAAUAAAUUGUUUUAUUACAAAAAUACCUAUUAUAUGAAUUUCCAAUAUGGAAUCUCUCUUAUAAACUAACAUAAUAAAAUUACUCCAAACACUCACUAUUCAAUAUAUGAUUAUCUUACCAUAAACCCGAAAAAUUUUAAAUCCAAUAUCUUAAACAAUAUUUAGUUAAACAAAGAGCAAAUCAAUACUUUUAAUAUAUUUUGAGCAUAUUUUUACUCUUUGAUUUUCAGAAGACAAAAAAAAAAUUGCUGUCUUCUUCCUCUUCCUCAUCCUUCUUUUAGUCUUCUUUUUCUUCGGCUAUUUCUUCUUCCUCUUUUUUUCCUUUUUUUUCUUUCUUUUUUUUUUUUUUUUGGCUAGAUAGCAAAAAAAUUUUCAAUUGUUUGGUUAAUAAAUUGGGUGCAAAAACUAAUAUUGAAUACAUUCUUUAAUAGACAAAAGCUAAUAAAGAAUAUGUUUAGAAUAUAAUUUGAUUCCUUUGUGUAUAUACUAAGUUGUUAUUAAUUCAUUUUGGAUGCUCAAUAGUUUAAUUGGUGUUUUGAGUAAAUUAGUUUAACUAGUUUAAUUAAGGUCCUUUUUUUUUAUUUUAAAGAGUGUAGAAAGUAAAAUUUAAUUAUUUUAAAUUCAACACAUUAUUGUACAAAGUAAUAAAGUGUUCAAAGUAAUUUUUGGAGUAUAAAUAACCUAAUCUUUUGAAAAAUGGUGGGACUAUUUGAAUCCACCAUAAUACUCAUUUGACCCAUGUUUUAGAAAACAUUUUUACUACUAAAUUGUCUCUAAUGUAAAUCACUAUUAAAGACAUAAUAGUAUGUAUAUACUUCAUGCUCUCAUCUUUUAAUCAUGUCUAAAUUUGUUCAAUGUGGACAUAAGAGAAAAUUUGUUUCAUACUUUUAAAUUUUUUUAAAAAUUUUCUUCAACUCCUUUGGUCGAAAACAAAUCCAAUCGAGUUGUUGGAUACUUGGAUUUGGUCAAAACUAUCUCACCAGUAAAGCUCAUUGGAAUCCAAUAAACCAAUAAGUUCUAGUCAAGCUAUUCUAGAUUCAAGCAAUAAAAUUUAGGAAAAUUAUCAGUCGUAUACUCUUAAAUGACAUCCGUAUCAAACGUGUGUGAACACUUUUGAAAUGUAUCACUCGUUUACCCUAAGUUGACAAAACACUUCUGCCGUCCGCCAAUCCGUUAACUUCCGUUUGCAAGCGCGAACAUCAUAAGGGCAAUUUAGUCUUUUAAGAUUGACGAAACUUUGAUUUAAAAAAAGGACAUGUCAUCCCAUUUACCUAGUACAAAAUGACAUGUCAUAUGAUAUAUAUUGAUAAAAAUAACAUGUCAUCCCAUUUAUCGGAUAAUUGUAAAUAAUUGCUAAAAAAAACUACUUUACAACCGAAUAUACGCCUUUAAAAUUUAACCUAAUUUUGAAGAUCUACUCCUCCAAGCUCCAACUGGAAAGUUUUAUGGUAUAAUAUGUAUAAUUGUGAAUAAUAUGUUGUUAAUAAUUUUUUAUGGUAUAAUAUGGAUUUUUUUUAUGAAUAAUUGUUAAUAAUAUGUACCAUUAAUAAUUCAUUUUUUUUAAUCAAAAAAAUGUAUUGUUAAUAACAAAAUAAAAAAAAUUGUGUAUUAAAAAUUUACGUUAAUUUUUGGGGUAAAUUUAUCUUUUUACCUUAUAUUUUGAGUUUCAAGGGCAAAAUAGCCAAUUUGUCACAAUUCUGUUAACUUUCUAAUGGAAGUUAACGGAUUGGUGGAUGGCAGAAGUGUUUUGUCAACUUAGGAUAUACGAGUAAUACACUUGAAAAGUGUUCUCAACUUAGGGUAUACGAGUAAUACACUUGAAAAGUGUUCACACACGUUUGAUACGGGUGUCAUUUAAGGGUAUAUGGCUGAUAAUUUCCCUAAAAUUUAUUUCAUUAAAUUUGCACUAUAUAAGAAAGGGAAGAGUUAUGCCAUUGACAAAUAUUGAGCGCUUGAAUUAGUUGUGUAAUCAAUUGAUUAUUCAUUACAACUAUCAUCUUAUUGUCAUUUAAUUUUUUCAUGAUAUUAUAUAUAUUUCAUAGCAGUUUAAUGACAAGCACGGACCAAAAAUAAAUUCCACUUGAGAAGUUGAAGGAUACGACCUUUGGUUAUGAAUGCGUCAAGGGUUGGAGAGAUGGAAGAAGAAGAAGAGAAGAAAAAUGUUGCAGAAAACCAUGAAUUAAUUUCAAGGAUAUGUUGGUUAUUAACAUGGGUUUAUAAAGUAUAAUAUAAAAUUUUUAACAAUAGAAUUAAUAAGUACAUGAGUUUACAAAGUAAUUUGGUGGGUUCAAAUAUACUCACUCUUUAAAAUAAUUAAUUUUUACUCUGCACACUCUUUUUUUUUUUUUUUUUUUUAUGAGAAAGUAAAGCUUUCAAUUGAUAAAGAAGAAGAGAACAACAUCAACACCUGGACAGGGAAAUCACCUAUCCAGGUGACAGCUUCCUCAAACUCAAGAGCUACAUUAGCUAAGUUAUGGGCUAUUACAUUAGACUUUCUUGGGACAAAACGAAUAGCUGCCGAGGCCUGGUUUUUCAACUCUGCUUGUAUUUCUUCAAUGUUCCAACAAAUUUCAGCCAAACUUUCCUUCUUGUUUAAAGUGAGCUCCACAACUUCCUUCAAGUCUGAUUCAACAAUGAAUUGGGCACAAUUUGUUUUCUGAGCUACUUGAAUACCGAGCAGCACUGCUUCUGCCUCCAUGUUUGCCACAUUUCCUUUUAAAGCUACUCUCUUAACAGCUGCAACCACAAUCUCAUCAAAUACUAAAAAAGCUACUCUCUUAACUCUGCACACUCUUUAAAAUACUAAAAAAGUCCUCAAUAAAACCUUUAAGUAAAUCAAUUAAGAAUUUCAAGCUAAAAUAAAUCUAUACAUGUAAUCACAAUUUAUUAAAAAUGGUAGUAAAACUUUUAUAUUUGAAGUCAAGUACUUAAUUACCAAGCUUAAAUAAAUUAAACAAUUAAAAUUUAUUCAUCUUUUUAAAUUUUAAAAUAUUAUUAGUCAAAAAUUUCAAUAAUAAACUAAACUCAACUUAACAUAAAUUUAUUUGGGUGUCAUUGUUUCUUUGUCAUACACUCUACCUUUUUUUUAAAGAACCUACUGUUGAUAGUUUUUCUAUCAAAAACUCCUCAAAAUAUUUAAAUUUUAUCUUCUAACUUGUCCUCUUGGUUAAUGUAACUAAUAACUAAAAUCUCAAAAUUCACAUAAAAGUUUAUGAAAUGUUGAUAGAUAGUUGUUACUAUAUAUCUUUUUUUGUAAGUAUUGGCAUUUUUUCAAUUAAAUUAUUUUUAUAAAUAAAUUAAAACAGUAAUAAUAUUUUAGUCCCCAAAUCUUUUCAAUCUAUUCAAUAAAUAUAUAAUUUAAUUAUUUCAUGAAAUAAGUCACUAAUUCCAACUGGGAAGAAAAUAUAAUUGAAUUAGGAACAUGUUUGAAAAUAAAAUAAAAACUCUAUUAUUUUAUAAAACUGAUUUAAAAAAAACAUAAGGGUAGUUAAAUUAGGGACAUAUAUAAAAAAAAUAAAACUAUAUUAUUAUCUAAAAUUAAUAAAAAAAAUAAGGGGUAUAAAUAACUUUCCUGGACUAAUCCGGGCUACCCCCGCUUAGGUCCGCUUCGCACUCAUUAUUCCAAAUACAACGUUUAAAAUUUAAAAUCAAAUUUUUACUAUGUAAAAUAUAUAAAUCUAAAAAAUAGUCUUGAAUUUUUUUUUUUUGGGCUCCUGUUUUAUUAUUCUUUUUCGAAAGUAAUUUUCUUUCUUCUUAUUAAAGGCUUGAGAUAAAUUAUAUAUCCCUUUUCUUUUAUUGAAUCAUAAUUCUUCGUUUCUUUUAUUGAAUCAUAGUUCUUGUGAUUUUGAUUUUUCGUAUGUAUUGCCUACAAUUUAUCAUUGAGGUAUCAGUUACAUAAAUAUAAUUUUCCAUUAAUCUUAUUUCGAAGAUGUUAAUGAAAUAUAUUUGGUGAAAACGAUAUUAGAGUGAGGAUACGUGCACCCAUGACAAAAAUUUGCAAAGAAGUCUUCAAUCUUUCAAAUUUUCCAAUUGAUAAAGAAUUGAUUUAAAAAGAAGAAGAUGAUGAUGAUGGUGAUUUAAGAUUUUAUAAUACAUGGGUGUGUCAAGGAUAUUUGUUUCAAGUUAAAAUUAUUCAAUCCUUAAUACUAAUUUCAUAAAAGGACAUUUUUAUAAUAUAAAAUUUUAUUAAAUAAAGAGGAUUAAAAAUAACUUUUAGAAUAUAUAAAUAAAUAGCCUCACGCGAUUAUAAAGUACAAGGUCACUCGAUGAUGUCAUGAAUUUAUGUAAUCAAAUAUGAAUUAUGUAAAUGAAACAUAAGACUUAUAAAUUUAAUAUAAAACAUGUAAAUCAAUAUUAACUGUGAAAUAACAUAUAAAUUAUGUAAAUAAAAUAUUAGACUUGUAAGUAGAAGGUAAAACAAACAAAUUAAUAUAGGAGUGAUAAAUUGGUAUAUUAUUGAUAAACAAAAGAAAAACUUACAAAUGUAAUAUAUAAUUUAUAAAUCAAUAUUAAGUGUGAAAUAAAAUAUAAAUUGCGUAAAUGAAACAUAAGACAAGUAAAUAAAAGAUAAAAUAAGUAAAUUAAUAUAAGAUUGGUACAUUAAUGUAUUGGUAAUAAACAAAAUAAAAAUUUAAAGAUAUAAUAUAAAACUAUAAAUCAAUAUUAAGUACAAAAUAAAACAUAAGUUUAAGUGUGAUUUACAAAAUUAAUAUAAGAGUUAUUAAAAAAAAUACAAAUGUAAAAUAAAAACUCAUUAUAAUAUUGAUUACCUUAUAUAUUUAUUGAUUCUAUUUUAAAUUGAAUAAUGAUAGUUUUGGUCUUAUGUAAUAAAUGUGAUGUUUUAUAUAAAUUUAUUCUCAAAAUUAGGUUUUGAAAUCUAUUCUUUUAAUGUUUUUCGAAUUUAUUGUAAGAUGACAUGAUUUUUCAUCCUUCUAAAUCUCCUCAUCAGCAAUGCAAAUAGUUUCUAAAUACAAGUAAGGGGGGACGGUUAAAAUUACAAGAAGUAUAUGUAAAACUCAAAAUUAGAUCUAAUUUUAUUGAAAUGUCAUAUAUGUGUUUAGUAAUAUAAGAAUAUGUUUUUAUUUUAUUUUUUUUGUUUAAUCCACAUUAAGAUAAAUUAUUUUGCUUAGUUAACUUGUGUAGUAAAAAAAAAAAAAAAAAACAAUGACAGAAAAUGAAAAAAAAAGUUUAUAAAUAUCUUAAGACAAAUAUAGAAUUUAUUCUUAAACCAAUUUAGUAAAACUUAUUCUACUUGUUUUCAGUAUAAUUUUUUUGGUCUUAGAUUGAUGACUAUUUUUUUUUUUUCAUUGUUUAACUAAAGUAAAUGAAUAAAUUAUUUUUUUUCACUAAAAUUAUGUAGAAAUCAUGUUAUAUGUUUUAAUAAUUAACUGGUUUAUAUUAAUUUACAUGUUUUAUCUUCCAAUCACUUAUCUUAUGUAUAAUUUUAUAAAAUAUAUUUUUUACCACAGCAUUAAUGCUGUAAUUCUAAUCAUGGCAUUAUAAAAUUUUCCAAUGUGGGGAAACAUCUUUACUCUAAAUAAAACUAGAGUUGUGUUGAGCUCAAUUUAAAUAUCUAAACAGCUCUUGUCUAAGCUUUGAAUCUCAAUACAAAUUUAAAUACAUUAAACUUCAUUAUAAAAGAGUCUACAUUGGCAUCAUGCUAAUCUUAUUGACAAUAUAUAGUUGCCGGUAUUAAUUAUUUUUGCACCAUAGCUUCCGUAGAAUCAAUUGGGUACCCAGUUCCGGAUGAAGGGUUGGAACCGCCGUUGGAGCAUGGACAUAGGAUGGAGACAACUCGAAUGAGUAGUUUUGAAGAAUCAUUGCCGUGGCCAUUUUUGCUUCUACUAGAGCAAAAUUUUGUCCAACACAUAUCCUAGGACCCGAUGCGAAUGGGAAAUAUGAAACUUGAUUUUUUGCCGCCUUUGAAAUUCCUUCCGCAAACCUUUCCGGCUUAAACUCAACUGCAUCGUCACCCCAAAGUUCAGGAUCCUGGUGAACUAGGAUCAUUGGCAAGCCAAUUUGAACCCCAGCGGGUAAUGUCAAGUUUCCGAGUUUCGUUUCCUUAAGAACAGCUCGACUAAGCGCAGUUAAGGGCGGAUAAAGCCUGAGUACCUCGUAAAGUAUCAUCUGGACCUGUCACAUACAUACAAACACAACUGAGAUUAAUAUGAUCAAAUUGAUCAAUAUCGAAUACUAUUUCCUUCGUACUUACAAUUUUGAGGUGGUUCAAUUCACCAUAGUCGGGCUUAUUAUUGCCAAACACUUGCAAAACCUCUUGCCUUGCACGUUCUUGCCAAUCUUGAUGCUUGCUCAAUAAGACCAUUGUCCAAUUAAGCAAAACAGAGGUAGUCUCUUGGCCGGCAAGGUAAAAUAGCUUACACUCUUCGAUCACAUCGUUCAUGCUGAACCCAACAUUUUUGUUAUUUCCAUGUUCUUCAAUCUCUCUAAAACUGGUUUCCAUCAGUAUGCCUAACAAGUCAUCAUUCGCAGCUUCCCCUGCUCUCAUUGCCUUCUCCCUAUUUUUGAUGAUUCCCAUCAAUGAAGCCCGGAUUUCCUUGUCAAUUUCUUUCAUUCUCCUAUUUCUCUUUGUAGGUAAAAACCUAUAUAUAAGCAAUGAAACAACUUUAAAGACAAGAACUAAACAAACUAAUCAAACCCUUAAUUUUUUUUUUUUACCCUCUUUUUACCAAUCAGAAAUCUGCUGGAGCCUCUUAGAAUAACUCUAUGAUUAGCUCAAUCAAGAUAUCUGAGCCGAAAUCAGCUAGGUCUACUUCUAAUAUUUUGCGCGAAAGAAAAUAACUCCCACAAAGCUAAUCAAAGCCUACUCAUAAAUAAUCCUAUAUGACAUGUAUAUAUGAAUGUUUCCAGUGAAGAGAAAUGUGAAUAUACCUCCAUCCUGGAAUGUGAACUGAACGAAAGACUUGCAUUGUGAGUUCAGCUAGCUCUGCCUGGAGCUGAAAAAUCCUUCUUCCUUCUUCAUAACUACUCCCAAAAGCCGUUCGAGAAAUCACAUCACUUGUUAAAUUUGCAAGAUAAGGCCAUACAUCCAACUCAGAUGAUCCUUCUACAGACAUUUGCUUCUCCCACUUUGUAAUUAUUUCGGUACAACUCAAGUAGAAUGCUGGCAACAUAAGCUGUAACAAAAGCAAGAAAUCUAAAUGAGGGCAAAAUCGAAUCUUCCAAAGAUAUGUAAACAAAUGGAGAAGUUAAUUAAUAAACCUUGAGCUUCUCUUGGUGGAAGGCUGGGUUGAUGAGUUUUCUAUGUUUAGCCCACUUCUCCCCCUCAAGGCUAGCCAAUCCAACUAUCAGCAGCCUGGCAAGUGGGAUUGAAUUGACUUUUUGAAAAUCAUUGAUCUUGGUAAAUAUCGCUUUUAUUUGAUCAGGAUUCAUAAUAUUCACCCUUGGUGUCGGACCAAACCACAUGAAAGAAUUCUUACCUGCAGAAAUUUUUUACCAAUAUACGCACAUGUUACUUGUUAGAGGCAGAUGGUACAUUGAAAAUGGUAGUAUACCUAAGCUGUGAAAAAUUAGUGAUUUUAUUCACAAAUCAGUCAAAGAAUAACCAUUCAUACUAAUUGAUUUUACCUCAAGCAGAAAAGAUCUAACAAGCAACUUUGCCCAUUAUAAGGUAAACAAUUAGAAACAUGGCACGAUUUAUAAGAUAAUGUAAAAGCCUAACGGCGUUGAAACAGUGAAUUAAUCAGACAACACUCAGCAAAAGGAACAACGCUGCCCUCUGGGAAUUUUACAUGUGGCAUAGCCCAUCCACAGGUUGAAUUACACCCACGCACCUAUCUCAUCAAUACAUUAGUGGUUCUAGCCACUCAGUCAAGGCUGAGUGGUAAAGUAUCACCACUUAAUUAAAAAAAAAAAAAAAAGGAAAAAAAAGAGAGAGAAGUUUAGCCGCAACGUCGAUUUUUUUCUCUGAUCAAAGAAGCGUAAAAUUAUGUUUUAACCCACCAAAAUUUUCAAGAAUUAUCUUUACGUGAACCAUCUCUACUGAAUCAGAAGUCUAAUCAAAUUUCUUUCGUCGGAGAGGAUUAAUUCUUUAAGCAGUGGCACAGUCCAGAUAUUUGAGUCAUUUGAGACCAGAACAGAACGUAUCUACUUUUGAACGAGUAAAAUUAAAAGAGUACACGCCGGGAUUGACAUACAUACCAUAAUCAUUUACCAGUUUAUGAAGGAAUGGAUUGACACGAAUAGCAAUAUUGUCAUCCAAACUGAGGGGUCUGGCUUUGGCUUCCUUCAGCUCGAUGGAAUUUUCUUUCAAGUCACCAAACAGAAGCCUGUAAGAAUUGCCUUUUAAACCUUGCUGUCUCAGGAAUUUCUCCAGCUUCUUGGGCCUCAGCCACACCCAGUUCAGCACUCUCCAUGCCCAUGUUAGCACCGUUAGAAUAACAAUGGUAACAGCUAUGGAUUUCAGAGGCAACUCCAUUUCACACUGACAGAUUUUGCGGGUUUAAAUUUGCAGAGACGAACGAGAAUGAUAUAUAUAGUCAUCAAGCGAAUGAGAAAAUCGUUUUCCUUUGCAUGUGUUUUUGAUUAGGUGUUUUCUGGAUCGAUACGUGUCAAGCUUGCAUGUGACUGUGAACUGUGGACCCUGUUCUAGAACUAGACUGUUUGGGAUCGAUUAAUUUUAAAAAAUAAACUAAAAUUCAUAUGGUAAGAAUUUUUAAGUAUAAAUGUUUGUAAAAUAAAAUCUAAACCUACAUUUGAAUGGCAAGCAUCUAGAAACAAGAUCUGUAUUCUGUCAUAUGACGCCAGGAAAUAUACUGCCUUUUCGUAAAUGCAUAAUCAAGCAGCAUGAUGUGCUCUGCUUUCACACGAAUGUAGGUCCACUUUGUCUUGGCUUUUACGGAAUUUCAAUUCUAUUGUUAUGGGGAUUAAUGGCUCUGCUUAAUUUUGGGGUCUGCUUUCAGAGAAAUACAAAACGAUUAGAACUCUGCUUUGUGAUACAGACAAGACGCAAUGGAUCUAUCAUCUUCAUCUCUACUCCUAUUUCAUUUAUCUUUAUCAUGAAUAUAAUCCACGAUUCUCAAACAUGAUAAACAAGGUCACAAACUAUGGUGUACCAAUCGGCUGUUUUUUUUUUAACUUAAUUAAUUUAAUUUAAAUCAUUGAGUCCAUUUAUUUUUUCAACUUAAUGAAAAUUUUCAAUCACUAAAUCAUUCAGUUACCAAGCUAAUUUUUAAAUUUUUUGUUUAAUCUAAAAAGUCUAAAUAAUAACAUUAAAAGAUUUUCUCUAAAAUAUCUCUAUCUAAUUAAUUAAUUUUUACCCUUACCUAAAUAAAUUUUAAUAAUUGAUGUUAUUACCUACCUCUAUAACUUGUGAUAAUAUAGUGCACUAGUAGACUACUAUUAUUUUUUAUUUUUUAUUUUCUUCAAAUUAAAAUUAUUUAUCUUCAUAAUUUUUCAUAAUUAUUUUUCAUAUAAAAACAUCAUAAACUAUAGUAAAAUUGAUUAAUAUAUACUAAUUUAAAAUAUUAAAAAGAGUAUAGACAUUAUGAGACAGUAUCAUUAAGCAGCUACUGGAAUAAGAUGUUAUGAGCCUAAAUUUUAUAAGGUCAAAGUUGAAUUUGGCCGAUCCUUUAACAAAAAAAACUAAACAAGAGUUUAGUAGAGAUCACAUCAAGGGAGAUGGGACUAGUGGCUAGAUCAUAAGACAAGAGUGAUGGUAACCCUACCUAUGUGAUUGGAGAUCCAUGAAAAAUGUUCAAUAAGUUACUUGUUGUUUUGGAAUGCUCUCAAUAUUAUGUAAUCUUAUUUUUAUUCAAUAAAGAUUUUCUUUAUUUAUAAGUCCUCCUUAUAAUAAGAUAAUGUUUAUCGCAGUGAGUUAGGUUAAGCAAUUGAGCUUUUCAUGAACUCCAUAACUCAAUUUUUAUGUAUGAUGGUGUGUUAAAACUGCAUGACAUACUUGAUGGAGGUUCACCUAUGUUAGUGUGGAAUUGGAUAAGUUCCUAUGAGAGUUAAACAUGCUUCUCUAGAGCGCUCAUGAAUACAAGGGCACAGGGCUACUAAAGUGCCAAACCGCAGAACAACAAAAUAUUGAGAGAGUUUAAUGUGAGCUUCUAGUCAUCUGCCUUACAAAAAAAAGAAUAUUGGUUUAUAGAAAUUAUCAGUUUCACCAAGUUCCUAUGACACAUGGUUAGUUAUUCAAUGGCCAGUUCAUAGCCCCAAAGGCACCAGUUCAUAUGCAUUAAACUCUAUGGACAAUGAUGAAGUCGAAAGAAAUUGAGUAUUUUGAAAUAUGUGGAGGAUUGUUAAAGAUUGAGUUGGUAUUUUAAAAUACCAAUAUUCCACAUUACUUAAACAAAAGAGUACAAGUUGGUUUUUAUAUAGAAAACAAAUAUAGUGUAGUAACAAGCCUAUGAAGAGGAGGCUCAUAUGCAUGAAACCAAGCGCGAGAGAGGAGUUCAUUCCAUGACUCUAUUAAUUGGUUGCUCGUACCCAAUAACUCACUCGCAAUGGGGACCCUCCUUCCCCCCAUGGGGUGUCAUGUAUGAGUGUGGGCUUGGCCAUCUAUUAUGUUUUGUCCUUUGUUUUAAUUUUAUUUAUUUUAAUUCGAAUUAGAUUGAGAAUUCAAUUCCUAAUGGAAUUAGGAUUUAAUAAACAUAAUUAUAAUUCAGAUUUAGAGAGGAAAAGGGGGUUAGGGCUUGUAUCUAUUUAAAGAGCCGAAUAUAUCACACUAUGGUCAUCCAAAAACUUACUCUCUUGCUCUCUGUUCUUUGUUGCUCUUUGUUUUCCUUUCUUUCGUCAUUGUACGUUUUGCUAUUCUGAACUAUCAAGUUGAAGUGCAACAUCACAAUCGUAAUAGUAAUUGUAUCAUGGAGAUCAAACUACUUUUGUUAGCCCUUCUUGCACCGAAAUACUGCAUCUUGAGAUCAAGCUUAUUCCAACAUUUUUGUUGUUUCCAUGUUCUUCAAUUUCUCUAAACUUGGUCUCCAUCAGUAUGCCAAGUCAUCAUUUCCAGCUUCCUCUGCUUUCAUUGCCUUCUCUCUGUUUUUAAUUAUUCCCAUCAGUGAAGCUCGUAUUUGCUUGUCAAUUUCCUUCAUUCUCUUAUUUCUUUCUGAAGGUACCAGCCAGCCUAUAAGAAAUAGGAACAAUAGAAAAUACAAGAACGUAUUGAAUGCACUAAUCAAAUCCUACUUAUCGAUUUCAACAAUAUGAUUAACAUCUUAGAUUAACCAUAUGACGACAUGGAUCGAAGUUAUAAGCCCAGGAUGGGUCAAACCUACUUCCAUAUUUUUGGAAGAAAAUCAACUCCUACAUUGCUAAUUACUCCCAGAAGCCGUCCUCAGAAUCACAUCACUAGUUAAUUUUGCAAGAGAAGGCCGUGCACCCAACUCACACGAUCCUCCUUUUGACGUCAGGUUUUCCCACUUUGUAAUUAUUUCACUACAACUUUGCUAGAACGCAGGCAACAUAAGUUGAAACGAAACAGAAAGAAAUUAAAAUGAAGACAUUUAUGUAAACAAAUGAAGAAAUCAAUUAAUAACCUAGAGCUUCUCUUGGUGGAACUGGUUGAUAAGAUUUCUAUAGUAACCCACUUGUCACCUCAUGGCUAACCAAUGCAAGUGCCAAUAAUCUGGCAAGUGGAUCUGAAUUGAUUUUUUGAAAAUCAUUGAUCUUGGUAGAUAUCUCUUUGAUUUGAUCGGGCUUCACAAUAUUCAACCUUCGCGUCGGACCGAACCACAUAAAUGAAUUAUUGCCUGCAUCAAUUUUUAAGCUCUGGUUAUUUUGCUCGUGGCAUAACUUACCACAGCUUGAGUUACACCCAUUGGCCCAUGAUAUCAAGAAAAUUAUUGGUCUCGCAAACAACAUAGCUCAAAUGUUUCAACACCAUACAUAUUUUCUUCAUUAAUUAAAAAAAAUUACGUUUUAACCCAUAAAAAUAUUCAAGAAUUAUCUUGAUGUGUAUGAUCUCUACUAACUACAUUUAUAACGAGAAGUCUAUUUGGAUUUCUUCCACUUAUAUCAGCUCUACAAUUGUGCAAACUGAAUUAGUUUUAUUAAUAAUGGCACAAUCCAGUCGAGAUAUUAUCGUCUAAACUUUCUUUCAAGUCACCAAACAGAAGCCUGCAAGAAUUGCCUUUGAAACCUUUGCUGUCUCAGGAAUUUCUCCAGCUUCUUGGGACCCUCAGCCACACCCAGUUCAGCACUCUCCAUGCCCAGUUCCCACUGUUACGAUAACAAUGGUCAGGUCUAUGGAUUUCAGCGGCAAUUCCAUUUCACACAGAGAGAUUUUUGAAGUGUUCAAAGAAAUGAGACUUGCCUACGUGGUAGAUUAGUUGAAAGUGAAUUAAAAACAUUUUUUCGUUUGCAUAUGUUCAAUGGCUUUUCUUAGUUUCGAAUUUUCCUGUACCAUUAUAUUGUCUCCAGCUAAUGGUACACGUGUCAAUAUCAAUCAUGCAUGUGGUGAUCUUUGUGGACUUGUCACUCAUUGACUGUCUUCUAUAGAACUAGAGAAUGUAAGUUCGGUUAAUUAUUUGAAAAAAAAAAAUUGUUUACCCCUAAUACAUUAAUUAUUCUCAAAAUAUCCUCAAACUAUAAUAAACAUUAAUCAAUCCACAAUUACUAUUAAGAAGGUAAAAAAAGAAAAAAGAAAUCAUCAAUCGUUCCCAUUUGAUCUUAUUUUUUGAAUGAUCAUUAGGGUAAAUUAAGGUUUACAAGAAUUUAGAGAUAACUGAAAUUAACAAAAAAUAAAUAAAAUAAAACUCAUCUAAAUAAAUUAUGCAUGGUGGGCCUAUUUGCCCUUUAAAACAUACUCAAAAUAUACUAUUAUUUAUGUAUACUCAUUUACUUAUUUUAUAAAAAGGGUGGGGCUAUUUGCACUCUUAACAUUACUAGAAUAUUCUUAUUUUAAUAAAUUGUUUUAUUACAAAAAUACUUAUUAUAUGAAUUUCCAAUAUGGAAUCUCUCUUAUAAACUAACAUAAUAAAAUUACUCCAAACACUCACUAUUCAAUAUAUGAUUAUCUUACCAUAAACCCGAAAAAUUUUAAAUCCAAUAUCUUAAACAAUAUUUAGUUAAACAAAGAGCAAAUCAAUACUUUUAAUAUAUUUUGAGCAUAUUUUUACUCUUUGAUUUUCAGAAGACAAAAAAAAAAUUGCUGUCUUCUUCCUCUUCCUCAUCCUUCUUUUAGUCUUCUUUUUCUUCGGCUAUUUCUUCUUCCUCUUUUUUUCCUUUUUUUUCUUUCUUUUUUUUUUUUUUUUGGCUAGAUAGCAAAAAAAUUUUCAAUUGUUUGGUUAAUAAAUUGGGUGCAAAAACUAAUAUUGAAUACAUUCUUUAAUAGACAAAAGCUAAUAAAGAAUAUGUUUAGAAUAUAAUUUGAUUCCUUUGUGUAUAUACUAAGUUGUUAUUAAUUCAUUUUGGAUGCUCAAUAGUUUAAUUGGUGUUUUGAGUAAAUUAGUUUAACUAGUUUAAUUAAGGUCCUUUUUUUUUUAUUUUAAAGAGUGUAGAAAGUAAAAUUUAAUUAUUUUAAAUUCAACACAUUAUUGUACAAAGUAAUAAAGUGUUCAAAGUAAUUUUUGGAGUAUAAAUAACCUAAUCUUUUGAAAAAUGGUGGGACUAUUUGAAUCCACCAUAAUACUCAUUUGACCCAUGUUUUAGAAAACAUUUUUACUACUAAAUUGUCUCUAAUGUAAAUCACUAUUAAAGACAUAAUAGUAUGUAUAUACUUCAUGCUCUCAUCUUUUAAUCAUGUCUAAAUUUGUUCAAUGUGGACAUAAGAGAAAAUUUGUUUCAUACUUUUAAAUUUUUUUAAAAAUUUUCUUCAACUCCUUUGGUCGAAAACAAAUCCAAUCGAGUUGUUGGAUACUUGGAUUUGGUCAAAACUAUCUCACCAGUAAAGCUCAUUGGAAUCCAAUAAACCAAUAAGUUCUAGUCAAGCUAUUCUAGAUUCAAGCAAUAAAAUUUAGGAAAAUUAUCAGUCGUAUACUCUUAAAUGACAUCCGUAUCAAACGUGUGUGAACACUUUUGAAAUGUAUCACUCGUUUACCCUAAGUUGACAAAACACUUCUGCCGUCCGCCAAUCCGUUAACUUCCGUUUGCAAGCGCGAACAUCAUAAGGGCAAUUUAGUCUUUUAAGAUUGACGAAACUUUGAUUUAAAAAAAGGACAUGUCAUCCCAUUUACCUAGUACAAAAUGACAUGUCAUAUGAUAUAUAUUGAUAAAAAUAACAUGUCAUCCCAUUUAUCGGAUAAUUGUAAAUAAUUGCUAAAAAAAACUACUUUACAACCGAAUAUACGCCUUUAAAAUUUAACCUAAUUUUGAAGAUCUACUCCUCCAAGCUCCAACUGGAAAGUUUUAUGGUAUAAUAUGUAUAAUUGUGAAUAAUAUGUUGUUAAUAAUUUUUUAUGGUAUAAUAUGGAUUUUUUUUAUGAAUAAUUGUUAAUAAUAUGUACCAUUAAUAAUUCAUUUUUUUUAAUCAAAAAAAUGUAUUGUUAAUAACAAAAUAAAAAAAAUUGUGUAUUAAAAAUUUACGUUAAUUUUUGGGGUAAAUUUAUCUUUUUACCUUAUAUUUUGAGUUUCAAGGGCAAAAUAGCCAAUUUGUCACAAUUCUGUUAACUUUCUAAUGGAAGUUAACGGAUUGGUGGAUGGCAGAAGUGUUUUGUCAACUUAGGAUAUACGAGUAAUACACUUGAAAAGUGUUCUCAACUUAGGGUAUACGAGUAAUACACUUGAAAAGUGUUCUCAACUUAGGGUAUACGAGUAAUACACUUGAAAAGUGUUCACACACGUUUGAUACGGGUGUCAUUUAAGGGUAUAUGGCUGAUAAUUUCCCUAAAAUUUAUUUCAUUAAAUUUGCACUAUAUAAGAAAGGGAAGAGUUAUGCCAUUGACAAAUAUUGAGCGCUUGAAUUAGUUGUGUAAUCAAUUGAUUAUUCAUUACAACUAUCAUCUUAUUGUCAUUUAAUUUUUUCAUGAUAUUAUAUAUAUUUUAUAGCAGUUUAAUGACAAGCACGGACAAAAAAUAAAUUCCACUUGAGAAGUUGAAGGAUACGACCUUUGGUUAUGAAUGCGUCAAGGGUUGGAGAGCUGGAAGAAGAAGAAGAGAAGAAAAAUGUUGCAGAAAAUCAUGAAUUAAUUUCAAGCAUAUGUUGGUUAUUAACAUGAGUUUAUAAAGUAUAAUAUAAAAUUUUUAACAAUAGAAUUAAUAAGUAGAUGAGUUUACAAAGUAAUUUGGUGGGUUCAAAUAUACUCACUCUUUAAAAUAAUUAGUUUUUACUCUGCACACUCUUUUUUUUUUUUUAUGAGAAAGUAAAGCUUUCAAUUGAUUAAGAAGAAGAGAACAACAUCAACACCUGGACAGGGAAAUCACCUAUCCAGGUGACAGCUUCCUCAAACUCAAGAGCUACAUUAGCUAAGUUAUGGGCAAUUACAUUACACUUUCUUGGGACAAAACGAAUAGCUGCCGAGGCUUGGUUUUUCAACUCUGCUUGUAUUUCUUCAAUGUUCCAACAAAUUUUAGCUCAACUUUCCUUCUUGUUUAAAGUGAGCUCCACAACUUCCUUCAAGUCUGAUUCAACAAUGAAUUGGGCACAAUUUGUUUUCUGACCUACUUGAAUACCGAGCAGCACUGCUUCUGCCUCCAUGUUUGCCACAUUUCCUUUUAAAGCUACUCUCUUAACAGCUGCAGCCACGAUCUCAUAAAAUACUAAAAAAGCUACUCUCUUAAUUCUGCACACUCUUUAAAAUACUAAAAAAGUCCUCAAUAAAACCUUUAAGUAAAUCAAUUAAGAAUUUCAAGUUAAAAUAAAUCUAUACAUGUAAUCACAAUUUAUUAAAAAUGGUAGUAAAACUUUUAUAUUUGAAGUCAAGUACUUAAUUACCAAACUUAAAUAAAUUAAACAAUUAAAAUUUAUUCAUCUUUUUAAAUUUUAAACUAUUAUUAGUCAAAAGUUUCAAAAAUAAAUUAAACUCAACUUAACAUAAAGCUAUUUGGGUGUCAUUGUUUCUUUGUCAUACACUCUACCUUUUUUUUUAAGAACCUACUGUUGAUAGUUUUUCUAUCAAAAACUCCUCAAAAUAUUUAAAUUUUAUCUUCUAACUUGUCCUCUUGGUUAAUGUAACUAAUAACUAAAAUCUCAAAAUUCACAUAAAAGUUUAUGAAAUGUUGAUAGAUAGUUGUUACUAUAUAUCUUUUUUUGUAAGUAUUGGCAUUUUUUCAAUUAAAUUAUUUUUAUAAAUAAAUUAAAACAGUAAUAAUAUUUUAGUCCCCAAAUCUUUUCAAUCUAUUCAAUAAAUAUAUAAUUUAAUUAUUUCAUGAAAUAAGUCACUAAUUCCAACUGGGAAGAAAAUAUAAUUGAAUUAGGAACAUGUUUGAAAAUAAAAUAAAAACUCUAUUAUUUUAUAAAACUGAUUUAAAAAAAACAUAAGGGUAGUUAAAUUAGGGACAUAUAUAAAAAAAAUAAAACUAUAUUAUUAUCUAAAAUUAAUAAAAAAAAUAAGGGGUAUAAAUAACUUUCCUGGACUAAUCCGGGCUACACCCCCGCUUAGGUCCGCUUGCGCACUCAUUACUCCAAAUACAACGUUUAAAAUUUAAAAUCAAAUUUUUACUAUGUAAAAGGGAUAUUAUCAUUUUUCCACCAAAGGUAUUCUGACACAUCAUGUCAGUACCAUGGUUUGAUAAAACUAUCAUUUUACCACCAAACGUUUAAACUGUUAGCAUUUUCCCACCAUUUCGUUAAAACUCAGUUAAUAUUUAACGAAAAAUUAUUAAAAGGUCAAUUUUACCCCUAGAGCGUAAAAGACGAUUUUGCCCUUUAAGAAUGAACAACAAUAAGUGAUGAUUAAAUUACAAAAAUAACCCCAAAAGUAGCUGUUACAUUCAAAUAACGGCUACUUUUAUGCUUAUAAGAGCUGCUGCUGGUUGCCAUUUCAACCCGCAACCAGCAACCCCAAAUCAAAGGCCAGCAAGUAGGGGUGGGCAAAAUCGGGUUCGGAUCAACCCGAUCAGAUUUCGGGUUGAUCGGGUUGGAGAGAAACUCAUCCGAACUCAACCCGAAUUUUAGAUCAGAUCGGAUCGGAUCGGGUUAUAUUCGGGUCGGAUCUAAAAUUCGGAUCAAUUUCGGGUCAAUUCGGGUUAAGGACAAAAAAAGUCAUUUGUGUUAAUUUUGGGUUGUUUAAUAAUUAUUUAAUAAUUACAAGAUCACUUUUAUGCAAUUAGUUCAUUUUAGUCCAUUUCCACUUUCCAAUGACUGUCAUAAAAAAAAUAUAAACUGAAAUAGAAUUGAAAAAGUUGUGAGCUUGGAGGACUUGGUGUCAUGAAUCUCAGUCUCGGUCUCGUUGGAAGAACAACCAUGGAUCACUUCGCGCGGGUCAAGCAGCAGCCGAUGGAUCAAGCGGCAACGGGUUUCGUCGAUGGCUCAUGGCUUCACAGGUUUUGUCGGUGGCUACCGGAAAAGCAGAUCCAAUCGAAGUGAAGUGCAGCAACCGUCGAUGCAGCAGCAAGCAGAUCCUGUCGUCAGUGCAGCAGAUCUGGUCGAGUGGUGUGCUGCAUAUGGCCGUUGCUGUGCUAACCGUCUGUAGUUUUGUUGUUGCGAGAAAGAAGAGAAAGAAGACAGUGAAGAGAAAAAAGAGAGUUGUUUGUGUGAGUUGUGAGAAAGAAGAGAAAGAAGAUAGUGAAGAGAAAGAACACGGAGAGUGAGAAAGAAGAGAAAGAAGAGAGUGAAGAGAAAGAACACAGAGAGUGUUGGUGUGAGUCUGUGAGCCAUAGUGUUCGUAUAUGUUCUGUUUAGCCAUUUAGGUUGUUUGUGUGUGGCGUGUGUGUUUAGAUUUAGGUUUUUUUUUUUAAAGCAACCCGAUCGGGUUUUCGGAUCGGAUCGGAUUUGACCUGAUCCGAUCACAACCCGAUCGGAUUUCCUUUAUAACCCGAUCCGAUCCGAUCCGAACCCGAAAUUUUUCGGGUCGGGUCGGGUAUUUUGCCCACCCCUACCAGCAACCCCAUUUGAGCACCAACAACCCAGCUGAAAAAGAAAGAAAAUGGCAACCCAGCACAACUACAAGCCACAGUAAACAUUUCAAUACCACUGCACCAGCAAGCCCAAGCCAUUUUUAAACACCAGUAAGCUCAUUUUAUUACUAGCAAUCAUGCCAGGUUUGUACAUGCAGGUUUAAAAAGUGUAAUUUUUGGCAAUGGGCAGCAAAAAAAGAUAUGGAAAUGCGUAACAUUACAUCCAAUCAUGGCAUGAACCUAAAUGAAGAUGUGAUGAAGAUAAGUGAACUACUACGAUGCAUUGAAGCGAAACUGAAAUUGGUCGUAGUUUUUAUUUGUGGCAUUGUGAUAGGCUUAUUUAUGAGGAAGUAAUGUAAUAAACAUGAAAAAAUAUUGUAGCAAUCAAUCAUUGUAGCUGAAGAUGUAAUGAAGCAUUAUAGUUUAAGAUGUAAUGCAACUGGAAAGUAAUCAAAACAGUUUGUGGAUUCCAAAAACAUAACAGCAACUUAAUGCACUAAUAUAAAGUUUGUGCAUCCAAAAUACAUAACAACAACUUAAUGCAUUAAUAUAAAGUUUGUGCAUCUAAAAUACAUAACAGUAACUUAAUGCACUAAUAUAAAGUUUUGUGCAUCUAAAAUACAUAACAGCACCUUAAUGGUUAUUUCAUACAGCAUCUAAUAUCUGUGAAGCUUGUGAGCCUUGAGUUGGAUUCGGGGAAACAUUAUCAGCUUCAUAUUGGCCAGGACAAAAAAAUUAUUACCUCAUUAUCUAAGACCAACAGUAGCUAUUUGCAGACAUCAAACAUUAAUUUGAAACAAUAACUUACCAUUGUUACGUCUUCUUACUCCAUCGCCUCUUGCUCUUGCUCUGUUACUCCUUUGGCCCCUUCGGCCUCUAUUCCUUCCUCUUCCUCUAUUACCAGUACCUCAUCUUCCUCUAUGAGCAAUAAAGCUCUCUUGUGAACCACCUACAGCCUAUUUAAAUUGAAAUAUAUAAAUAAUCAAAUCAUCAAUAUUUAUAACAAACUAAAAAUUACUCAAUGAAUAACAAUAAACAAAUUACCACUUUCUUUGUCCUCUUUGAAGUACUUGCUGCAUUAGAACUUUCUCCCGGCCCACUAACUCCCUAUUUAAAAUUACAUAGAUAACAAACAAUAAAAAAUUAAUUUCAAUACACAUAAAAACAAUUAAAACAUUAGGUUAAGUGGCUGUUACCUGCUGAGCUCUUAAUUAUCUUGCUAUCGAUGGCCUUAAUGCACAUUUCCUGACAUUGUGGUUCAUCCCACCACAAAAUGAGCAGCAGAUAUAAAAUGAUUUUUUUUUUUUUAUUGGCUCAGUGGCUGCCCUUUUCCUUGACAUUUUUGGUCUACCAAUCUUCUUGGUAAUCUCAGGUGGAAAGAGCUUGGGCCUAUCACAAGGGUCCCAUGUAACUUUGUUAGGAAUUGGCUUGAACAUCACUGCAUAUGUGUUCAAGUACGCCUCUUUGCCGAAGUAUUUUGGUAGAUACUCUGUUGCUGUGUGUCUAGCAUGACUAAUUGCAGCCAUAACAUGAGUACAGGGGAUUCCAGCUAGGUCCCAAUAACCACAAUCACAAGACCUGCUCAUGAGAUCGACAAUGAACCUCCUUGUUGGAUAAUAACCCUUGUGUUUAACCUAACAAAAAUUACAUAAUGAUUAAAUAAUAAUUAUAAGGUUGAGGAAAAAAAAUUGAUUAACCUAACAAACAUUCAGGUUCAGGAAAAAAUUAAUUAUAAGGAACAUGAGUUAGAAUUAUACUUGAAAGUGAAGAUCCCCAGAAGCCAUUACAUUCAUCUUGCUUCCACAUUCAUAUGCAACAUCCAAUUCUUUUUUCACUCUAGGUGGAAUGUUGGUCUAAGAUUGUGCUUCUUUUUUCCUUUUUGUGAAGAGUGUCAUGAACAUGCAUCUAAUUUCUUCAAGCAUGUUCAAGCAAGGCUUCUCUCUGUGGGGUAAUAUCCAACUAUUAAAACACUCUGAAGUGUUGUUAGUUGUACGAUCUACCUUGCAAUUCUUGUCAUACUCAUGUCUUGACCAAGUAAACCCAGCAAGCUCAGUCUCCAGCCACUGCCAUGCCUCUAACUUCUCUUUUUUGAGGUUUUCCAUUGCAAUAGCGUAAUCAUACUUGUUAGUGCUACUGACAGCCCUCCAAAACAGAUUUCUCAAACUAACACCAGGAUGUUCUUUGUAGAAGUUAGUAUAUAUAUGCCUAGCACAUGGUCUAUGAUAUGCAGUAGGCCAAGUUAUCUCAAUGGCCCCCAACAAACCCUUUUGCCUAUCUUAGCAAAAUGUAAUAUGCUCUAAGCCAUUAUCAAAAUACGAAUGCAGAAUUUCUAAAAACCACGACCAGGUUUCAGUAUUCUCUAUCUCACACACUGCUAAUGCUAAUGGGACCAUUCCAUUAUUAGCAUCCAUACCUGUUGAGUGUUAGAAAAUGCAUAUUUAUAAAGGAGAAAACCGUCAUUUUACAUUUCAAGUCUUAUUAACAACCCUUACUUUUAUGUAUUUAACCUUCUUGUGAUUUAAUUACAUGUCUUUUAUUUUAAUUAAGUAUUUUAUGUAUUUUAGGGGCAUUAUAGUCAUUUCACAAUAAAGGAGAGAUCAGAUGGCAAAACGGACAUCACUUUUGAACUCAGGACGGUCGAAAACCUUAGGAGGAGCAUAAAAGGAAAAAUGACACUAUUCACAUGUACGGUACUAUUCACGUAUACGGUACUGUCUACGUUACUGUUCACGAAACUGUUCACAUAGACGGAUCGAUGACGUGGCAUUGACCGAUGAUGUGGCAUUGACUGAUGAGGUGUCACGAUCCUGUUGGACUAAACUUCUUAUGUACUGUUGAUGGUGACGUGGCAGCAUAUCAGUGGAUGAAAAAUCUCGCGUACGGUGCAUGCAUCACACAGGAUUAUUUUCAACCAAACCGCGUUACUGUUCAUCCGGGUCAAACCGUGUUACUGUUCAUCCGCGUGGUCAAACCGUGGACUGUUGACUGAUGACGUGGCGCAAUCCUGAGCGUCCAAACUAUUUUUAAUCCGAUGGCCAUGAUUUACUCCAUGUAUCUAUAAAAAGGGGGCCUCCCCCCCCUAAUUUGAUAUCUCUGAAUCCAUUUUUGGGAUCCAUUUUCUGUAAUUCCCUCUCCAUCUUGUAUUUUCUUUGUAUUUUAAUAAAUUCCCAUUUUGCCCCUAGUUCAAUUAUGAGUGGCUAAUUUUCUUUCAAGCUUGGGUUGAAGGUGAAGUCUCAACAUGUGUCAUGGGCUUUAUUUGGUAAAUUUAUUUUCUUUUCCCCUCUAGUUUUUGUGGAUGAUUUGACUUAUCGUCGACAAAUAAUACUGAUCUUGUCUAGAUACCGCCUUGGUUACACCGGCUCUCUAGUAUAAGGUUAUUAUUAUUUGGCACGAUAAGCCCUUAGCACCAUAUUGAUUAGAGCGUGGUUCAUGAGGUGUGGAUCCCCCCCUCAUGAUUUAAUUGGCAUUAAUACGGAUUAUUUAGCCCAUGAUGCAUGUUGAUACGGAUCCAGAUACCCAAGUACGUCAUUUCAAUAGAUUUCGCUUCAACUUAUUCUCGCCAUUGCAAUUCCAAUUUUAGAAUUUAUUAUCGCAAUUUCAAUUCCAAUUUUAGGAUAAUUUAAAUCACUUCCACCACAAUUCCAACCACCCAUUUUGCAAAAUUAAUUCUAUACACAAUUAAAAUCCUCCUCCUCGUGGGAUCGACACUCGUCACCAUUGAUCUACACUACAAUAGAUUCAUGCGCUUGCGAGUACAUUAAAAUUUGCACAACAAGUUUUUGGCGCCGUUGCCCGGGGAGGUAAGUAAUUUUAAUUCAUAGAAUUAAUUUUUGUGAAUAAUUUCUUUUAAAUUGUUUUCUUGUAUUUUUUUUAUUAAAAAAAAAAAGGUGAAUCUGCAUUUAAAGGUUAGUAUUUCUUUUCUUUUUCUCUUCUUUAAAAUUCUGUAAUUUAAUUUUCAAUUUAUUUUUUUCUUUGUAAUUUUUAUUUAUUUUAUUAAUUUAAUUUUUAGUUAAUUUAUUUCACGUAUUUGUUUUUGUGUAUUUUUAUAAAAAGGUUGUAAUAGCGCAAUAAGGUUAGUAUCGUAAUUUCUCCCUCUUCUUUAUUUUUAUUUGUUUUGUUCCCAUCUUUAUUUUUAUUUUAUUUGUUUUGCAUGCAUGGUCGUAGGUCAUUAUUACCUAAUCUUGAACCUAUAGACCUUGAAUUAGAAAAAACACUUCGCACACAAAAGCACAUUAAAAAUAAAUUUGGAAUGGAUUUACAAGCACCACAGGAGAGGCCAUUUAAGGACUAUUUUAGUCCCUUAGCUAAUUUGAGCACAUCAUGCAUAAGAUACCCAAAUGUAGCUGCUAGGAGUUUUGAAUUAAAACCUAGUGUGCUAAAUUGUCUCCCCACAUUCUAUGGCUUAGAAAAUGAGGACCCAUAUAAUCAUCUGAAUGAUUUUCAUACCAUUUGUCAAACUUUUAAAUAUGAAAAUUUUUCAGACGAUGAUGUUAAACUCAGAUUAUUCCCAUUUUCUUUAAAGGAUAGAGCUCGUUCAUGGCUUAAUACAUUGCCUGCUAAUAGCAUUGCAUCAUGGGAACAAAUGGUUACAAAAUUUCUAAAUAAAUAUUUCUCAGUGCAUAAAACUAAUUCUAUUCGCAGGGAAAUUUCAGAGUUUACACAAAGAGAGGACGAGCAGUUUUUCGAAACUUGGGAGCGAUUCAAUGGGCUACUCUUGAAGUGUCCACAUCAUGGGUACGAAAAAUGGCAUCAAUGCCAAUACUUUUUGGAGGGAUUAUUGCCGAAUGUGCAAGAAUGGCUAAUGGCAACAAGUAGAGGAGAGCUAAUGUCAAAAAGCGCAACAGAGAUUUGGGAAUUCUUCCAGCGACAAGCGGAUAAUUCCCAACAACGGAGUCGAUCAUUCAGGAAUACUAGAAAAAUUAAAGGAGUAAAUGAGGUUCACAUUGGCGAGUCAACUUCGGAAAUCAAAGAAGUCAAGGAGAUGGUUGAAGGUCUUGCUCGACAAAUAGCAUCGUUAUCGACUGCUAAAUCAACAGAAUCACAUGACCAUGACUCAUAUUCAGAUCAAGCCAAUGCCAUAGGUGUAAUGAGAAAACCAUCGAAUUACAACCCAUACUCCAACACAUAUAAUCCUGGAUGGAGAGAUCACCCCAAUUUUUCAUGGUCUCAAGGAUUCCAACAGAAUGGACCAACAGCUCCAGCUCCACUACUGCAACCAAUUCCUCAAAAUCCUCAAGCCUCUCAGCCACCAUUCAGACCAUACAAUCAGAACCAGAACUACUCUCAACCCAGACCAUGGGAGGAUGCAUUCCAGAAUUUCAAGAAUGUUACUCAUUCUACCAUUGAGCAACAGAACCGCACCAUUGAUGGACUACGAAAUGAAUUGAGAGCGGGCUUUAACUCACAAGCCCAAUCAGUUUCAAGCCUCGAGAAGAUGGUGGGACAACUCGCUUCUUCAGUUCAGACAUUGGCAAUGACUAUUGAGAAAGGCAAGUUUCCAAGUCAACCAGUGCCUAAUCCUAAAGGAGUACAUGAAGCAAGUACCAGUUCACCACAGCAGCAUGGGGAGGUCAAAGCAGUCAUGACCUUGCGAAAAGGAAAAGAAGUCGACAACAAAGUGGAGAUGCCGGUGACCAAAGAAAAUCAAAUUGUACCUGUGAAUGUUGAAGACUCACCACCGGAGGAAAAAGAAGAAACCAACCCACGAGAAUAUGUUCCUAAAGCUCCAUUUCCUCAGAGGUUAGCGAAAGGAAAGAAGGGAAAAUCCACAGGUGAGAUUCUCGAAAUCUUCAAACAGGUAAGUGUUAACAUCCCUUUACUUGAUGCUAUUAAACAAGUUCCAUCUUAUGCCAAGUUUCUUAAAGACCUUUGUACUAAAAAGAGAAACAUGCAUGUUCAAAAGAAGGCAUUUUUAACAGAAAACGUUAGUUCUAUACUCCAACAUAAAAUUCCUUUAAAAUGCAAAGACCCAGGCUCCCCCACUAUCUCAUGUAGUAUAGGGAACCACACAAUUGAGAAUGCUUUGUUGGAUUUAGGAGCUAGUGUAAAUUUGUUGCCUUAUUCAGUAUUUGUGAAACUUGGACUGGGAGAAUUACACCCAACUCCAGUGGUGUUACAGCUUGCAGAUCGGUCCACGAAAAUACCUCGUGGUAUUGUGGAGGACGUGCUUAUCCAGGUAGACAAGUUUUAUUUUCCUGUUGAUUUCAUUGUAAUUGACACUCAACCAAUACAGGACUCAAGGAAGCACAUCCCCAUUAUUCUAGGCCUACCUUUCUUGGCAACUGCGGAUGCUCACAUUCAAUGCAGGACUGGAAAUAUGCAGUUGUCCUUUGGCAACAUGACUAUGGAGCUAAACAUUUUCAACAUUGCCAAACAACCUCAUAGUCCAGAUGAUGGAAUUGUUGAUGUGGAUUUAAUAGAAACAAUAGUCGAUAAUACUUUUAUUUCAAACCUUAGUGAUGACCCUUUACAGACAUGCUUAACUCACUUUGGUUUGAAUUUUGAUAUUGACAGAUCGGUCGAUGAGGUCAACACUCUACUUGACUCAGCACCAUCCAUGGACACUAAUAAAUGGAAGUCAAGAGUUGAACAACUAGCACCAUCAGAGAAGAAAAUCAUCCCAUCAUCAGAAUCACCACCGAAACUCGAGCUCAAACCAUUACCCAACACAUUGGAAUAUGCGUUUUUGGGAGAAGAAAGCACUCUACCGGUAAUCAUCUCAUCAUCCCUAAACGACGAACAAAAAGGUAAGUUAUUGGAUGUUUUAAAAGAGCACAAAGGAGCAUUAGGAUGGACCAUAGCAGAUAUUAAAGGUAUAAACCCAGUAGACUGCAUGCAUUACAUUCACCUUGAUGAAAAUGCUAAAACUACUAGGGAAAUGCAACGUCGGUUAAAUCCUAAUAUGAAAGAAGUUGUUAGAACAGAAGUCCUUAAGCUAUUAGAUGCAGGUAUCAUUUACCCAAUUUCUGAUAGUUCAUGGGUCAGUCCUGUACAAGUUGUCCCCAAAAAGUCAGGAGUCACAGUAGUUACCAAUGCUGAUAAUGAAUUGAUACCAACUAGAGUAACUACAGGAUGGCGUGUAUGCAUUGAUUAUAGAAAAUUGAAUUAUGUCACACGUAAAGACCAUUUUCCUUUACCAUUUAUUGAUCAAAUGCUUGAUAGAUUAGCAGGCCAUGAAUUUUAUUGCUUUCUGGAUGGUUAUUCAGGAUAUAAUCAGAUUCCCAUAGCACCAAAAGAUCAGGAGAAAACUACUUUCACUUGCCCUUUUGGCACUUUUGCAUAUAGGAGAAUGCCAUUUGGAUUAUGUAAUGCACCUGCUACAUUCCAACGAUGCAUGUUGAGCAUUUUUUCUGAUAUGGUUGAACGAUUCCUUGAAGUCUUUAUGGAUGAUUUUUCUGUCUUUGGUGACUCGUUUGAUCAAUGUUUACAUCAUCUAACGCUAGUUCUGCAGAGAUGUAUCGAGAAGAACUUAGUCUUAAAAUGGGAGAAGUGUCAUUUUAUGGUAAAACAAGGUAUUGUUCUCAGUCACAUCAUUUCAAGCAAAGGUAUUGAGGUUGACAAAGCCAAGGUGGAUCUCAUUUCUAAUCUUCCUCCACCUAAAACAGUCAGAGAAGUAAGAUCUUUCCUUGGGCAUGCUGGUUUCUAUAGACGUUUCAUUAAAGAUUUUAGCAAAGUUUCUAGACCCUUAUGCAAUUUACUUGCUAAGGAUGUACCUUUUAUCUUUAAUGAUUCAUGUCUUAUGGCUUUUGAAAAAUUAAAGCGAUUGUUGACAUCAUCACCCAUCAUUCAGGCCCCAAACUGGAGUUUACCAUUUAAGCUCAUGUGUGAUGCAUCUGAUUAUGCAGUAGGAGCAGUAUUAGGACAAAGAGUUGAUCGAAUUCCCCAUGUUAUUUACUAUGCUAGUAUGACAUUGAAUAAUGCACAGUUGAACUAUUCAACUACUGAAAAAGAAAUGCUAGCAGUAGUGUUUGCAUUAGAGAAAUUUCGAUCUUAUCUCAUUGGUUGUAAAAUAAUUAUAUUCACAGAUCAUGCUGCUCUUAAAUAUCUUCUCAUAAAGAAAGAUGCAAAAGCUAGACUAAUUCGUUGGGUGUUACUUUUGCAGGAAUUCGACUUGGAAUUCAAGGAUAAGAAAGGCACAGAGAAUGUUGUAGCGGACCACCUCUCUCGUCUCCAUUUUGACACAAUUACAGAAUCAUUACCAUUGAAUUAGUCAUUUCCAGAUGAACAAUUAAUGAAUGUGGAAGUAUUACCUUGGUAUGCUGAUAUAGUUAAUUAUCUUGUUACAGGUAAACUUCCAGAGCAUUGGACCAAGCAAGACAAGGCUAAAUUCUUUGCGGAAAUAAAGAAUUUCUUUUGGGAUGACCCGUAUUUGUUCAAGUAUUGUGCAGACCAAAUUGUUAGACGAUGUGUCCCUGAAAAUGAAAUUCAGAAUAUUCUUUCAUUCUGCCAUGCACAAGCUUGUGGAGGCCAUUUCAGUGCUAAGAAAACAGCGACUAAAGUUUUACAAUGUGGUUUCUAUUGGCCAACUAUAUUUCGAGAUGCUUACACUUUCUGUUCUUCAUGUGAUAGGUGUCAACGAAUGGGGAGCAUUACACGAAGGAACAUGAUGCCACUAAAUCCAAUUUUAGUGGUUGAGAUUUUUGACGUAUGGGGUAUCGACUUCAUGGGACCCUUUCCUCCGUCUUUUGGUCAUCAAUACAUAUUGGUUGCUGUUGACUACGUAUCGAAAUGGGUGGAAGCAAUUCCAUGCAGAACCAAUGAUCACAAAGUGGUGAUAGGAUUUUUGAAAAGCAACAUUGUUUCACGCUUUGGAUUCCCUCGAGCGAUAAUCAGUGAUGGUGGUGCCCACUUUUGUAACAAAGCAUUCAAAGCUCUUUUGACAAAGUAUUCAAUCACCCACAAAGUGGCGACUCCGUAUCAUCCGCAAACCAGUGGCCAAGUUGAGAUCUCCAAUCGAGAAAUAAAGCACAUAUUAGAAAAGACGGUGAGGCCAGACAGGAAAGAUUGGUCAUUACGACUUGAUGAUGCAUUAUGGGCAUAUAGAACGGCUUUCAAGACCCCGAUUGGGAUGUCACCCUACAGGCUAGUGUAUGGAAAAGCUUGCCACCUACCUGUGGAACUCGAGCAUCGUGCAUAUUGGGCCAUCAAGAAAUUCAACUUUGACAUGCAGCAAGUCAGCUCAGAAAGAAGAUUACAGCUGGCAGAACUUGAAGAAAUUCGCAAUGAUGCAUACGAAAAUGCCAAGAUUUACAAGCAACGAAUGAAAGUCUUCCAUGAUAAGCAAAUUAUGAGAAAAUCGUUCACUCCAGGUCAGAAAGUGUUUUUAUUCAAUUCUCGCUUGCACCUAUUCCCAGGUAAGUUACGCUCUCGAUGGUCUGGUCCCUUUAUUGUUCAUACUGUUUUUCCACAUGGGGCAAUUGAAAUUAAAGACCCAAAGAACGGUGUCACGUUUAAAGUUAAUGGUCAAAGAUUAAAGCCAUAUCUAGAGUACCAACCACAUGAAGAAGACACCGAAAUAAAUUUGAGUGACCCACCAGAUUUGAAUUAAUUUUUUUUCUCUUUUUAUUGAUUUGAUUUUUCUUUCUUUCUUUUUAUUAUUCUUUUGCUAAUUGAAAUUGUUUUUGCAUAAGUGUGUUUAUUUUACCAUUAAGUUUUCUCUUAUCAUUUUUAAUCAUGAGUCUCCUACUUAGACCGUUCCUCCUGAACAUUCUUAAACCACUUCAACGUGUCAAAACUCAUCUCAAAAGGCAGAUUCUAUUUUGUAAAACACAACGCAUUUGGGCUCUACAACCACCAGAGUUAGUAGCCUAUGUUGAGGGUUUAGAACGCCAACUCAGAGAUAUUGAGAGAAGUGUUUACGACAUCCAGUUGGAGCUUGAGGUAAAUUCAAUAAGAGGACGAUUUUAAUUUUCUUUGUGUGUUUUGAUUUGUUUUUCUGUUUGUGUGCUUUAGUUUGUUACCCCGGUGAAGUGGCGGAUAACGGUACUCCGUGACAAUCAAGUCGGUUAACUUCAGUUUCCCAUAAUAACUGAUAUUCUGAGGCGAAGGUAUGGAUACAAACGAGAUUUUAGCAAAGCUUCACAAGCGAUUCCCUUCACUUCCUCAGAAUGCCCUCCUUACGAUCUAUAAAGCCCGGUCUGAACGCAUGCGAUUGCUCAUGAGGAAUAACAUACCUGCAGACAUCCGUUGGUUAAUCGAGGCUAAAGUACGAUCGGCAGGUGAGUUACCUCCAAAAUUUAUUGCAUUCAUGCCUGGUUGUGGUAAAGGAAAUUAUGCAAGAAAACGACGAGCUCGAAGAAUUUCUGUUGCUUGUCAUAAGUGUGCCAGAAUGAGUUGCGAUAAAAACCCAUGUUCUUUAGGAAUGGUGUCUGAUAACAGGGAAGAUAAGAUUCAAUUCAUUAGGGAUGGCUUGAAUAAGGAGUCAUUGGAUGAUAUCCUUUUGUCUCUUGAAACGCAUCCUAGUGGAUAUGUGCAAGGAGCGAUUCUCCAGUUAUGGCCAUUAUUCCAGAAAGAGCAUGCACGAUAUAGUCUCGGGAAUCUGACUAUAAACGACCCUGUUUGCCAGUUUAUAAGAAAACUGGAUAGGAAGCCUAUCCUCGACCCAUAGAGGGCGUUCAAGCCGUUUCUGGACGUAAAACCAGAGGAAGAUGUGAGCCACAGUCGCAACUACCUGUAAAUAUCCUUUUACUUUACUGUUGUUUUAUUUUACUGUUGUUUUAUCGUUUGUAUUAUUAUCUUUAAUAAUUUUAUUACUGUUUGCUUUUUCCUUUUUACUGUUUCCUUUUUGACUCGCGAGCCACGUGCUUUACGCGUUAUUUGACACUGACAUGUUACCUCAUUCACAGCUGUGAUCCACUGUCACCAAGAUUCUUAAAUGUGAUUUAUCUUUUGUCAAGCACUCACAAAUUAUUUUUGAGAAGUAUCACAAUGGCAGCUACUCCCAAUAGACAAUUCAAGAACAUUUGUGUGCUUUCUGGAUUUACCUAUGGCAAACAUAAAGAGUUCGUGGAGGCAGCCAUAGAUCUUGGUCGAAGCAUAGCAGCGAGAAAAUUACAUUUGGUGUAUGGAGGAGGUAACCGAGGGUUAUCAAAAAUGGUCUCAGAAGCAGCUUUUAUCAGAGGAAGUCAAGUGUUAGGCAUCAUCCCAAGAGUCCUAAAACCAUUGGGCAGUUCAUCUAACUCAUCAACUGGAGAAGAGUUAGUCGUCUCAGGUAUGCAAGAAAGAAUAACUGAAAUGCUUAAUCAUGUUGAUGCUUUUAUUUUCCUUCUAGGAGAUCUUGCAACACUAGAGGCACUUAUGACACUAGCAUCUUGGGCCCAUCUGCACAUCCACCAGAAACCCAUCGGUUUGUUAAAUGUCAAUAACUUUUAUGAUGGCUUUAUCGCAUUUCUUAACCAUGCAAUAAAAAACUAUUUCAUUCCUUCUAAUGUGAAAAAACUCUUUAUUUGUGCUCACACUGCUAAUGAGCUACUUGAUAUGUUACAAGCUUAUAAACCGGAGCCAGACCCCUGGACCUUUGUGUUGGAGCGACCAAAUAAUGAUGGUAACAGUAGCCGCAGUAAGAAGUACAAAUUAGAUUUAACUCUCCGCCUGUAAAUAUUUUCUUCUGUGUUGCACCACCCAGGUGAUGUCUUCUAAACUCUACUUCUUUCCUUUAAAACAUUGAGGACAAUGUUUCGUUCUGGUUGGGGGGAGGGAAUAGUCGACAAUUGUGGAAUCUUGGUUAAGUUUUUACUAAUUUUUUGUUGUAGAAACUAACUGUUGCUAACGUUUUGUGUUGAAGAUGGCUGAAUAUGGAGUGUAGUUACUCUAGAAACGCAUCUUCAUCGUUUUAAAAAAAAAAAAAAAAACUCGUUUGCUUCCUCUUUCUCCUUUAUAAAUAUGUAGUUUCAAAUUUUUGAGUCGAAGAUGGCUGAAUAUGGAGUGUAGUGCCUCUAGAAACGCAUCUUCUUAGUUAAAAAAAAAAAAAUCUUUUUCUAAUUAAUUUUUCUACAUCAUUUUCACAUUUCUGCAUGCAUAUUUUCCUUUCAUGUUUAGAAUAGGUUGGGGGGUAGAAUGUUGUUUAAAAAAAAAAAAAAUUUGUGUUAUUUGUUUUAACAUUGGAUGACAUGAUUAAUUUCAAAUUUUAGUAUUUGUAUUAUCUUUGGUCUUAAGUGAUGUUACGCUAUGUUUGCUACUUUACAUGUUGAUGUCGGAGACAAAUAUGAGUUGCUUGAAGGAAUGAACAUGUCAUAAAUAAGUGCCAAGUGAGUUGUUGAGCCUAUCAUUUUCUUGGAGAGUAACCCUUUUGCCCAUUCUCUAUACAGCUUAGCAGUUUAUUAUUUUAUACACGAUCUCUAGAUUUCUUUUGAGUUAACCCUUUAAAAAAAAUGGUAAAAAUAAAAAAAAUAAAAAAUGUGUGUUGCUAUAUUGGGAUGCCCAUUUAACUAGUAGAUAUGGAUAAUUAUUUAGAGCCCUAAAAAACGAUGGAAAGGCCAUCUUUGAUCCGUUUGAGCCUUUCUAGCCAUCCCUGUUAUUAAAUAUCCAUAGUUACCCCUUUUGAGCCUUUAAAAAAAAAAAAAAAUCUUUUCUUUGUCAACUUAUCAUCUUGACCCACUCCGAUUUGGAGUAUUACUCAAUGUCUUUUAAGUUCCAUCACCUAUUUAUGUUUGAGAAAAUGUAAAUAAUUAUGUUGUUCAGUGAAGUUAUGCCAAAAAAAUAAAAAAUAAAAACAAAAAAUAAAAACAAAAACAAAAGUUGUUGUUUCAAAAGAAUAAAAAUAACAAUAAUAGGUGAAAUCCACCUUGCAAGUUCCAAAAAAAAAAAAAAAAAUCUGCAUUUUUCUCAAACAUACACUUUGUUUUCCUUAUUUCCCUUCUUUGUUAGCCAUAUCCCUAGCCUACGUUACGUCCUAAUAAAAGUCCUUCUUGAUUUUAGGAAACUAUAGUUUGAAGUAGAAGCUAGUUAUAUGGGCUAAAAAGAUGUAGUGAUGCAUAAUAAAAAAAAAAGAUAAAUAAAGUGGGUUGACUAACAUUUUAUUUGACUUGAGAUCGUAUUAUUUCUAAGCUGAGGGCAUAUUUAUUUCAUCUUGGUGAGAGCAUGUGAUAUCAUUUCUUUAUUAUUUUCUCUCUCAAUUACCAUUCAUUGGAGUGACUAUGUUUAUUGGGUUUUAAUUUCUUUGUGAGAGUGUCACUACUUCCAGUGAGAUUUUGGGGUUUGACAUGUCAUUCUUGAAAGUAGCUAUAACAAAGUCUACUGGGCUAAUUCAUGUGGAUGGUUGAUGUGGGUGUGAUGUUGCUUUAGACUGAAGAUAAUGCUUAUACUUUUAUUUGAUUGCUAUCAUUAAUCUGAUUGAAUAAACACGAGUGUUCCCAUAAAAAAAAAAAAAAAAUCAUUUUGAAUUUGAAUUUUGUUUUCGCUUUAUUUGCUAGGGACUAGCAAUAAGCUGGUUGGGGGGUGUGUUGAGUGUUAGAAAAUGCAUAUUUAUAAAGGAGAAAACCGUCAUUUUACAUUUCAAGUCUUAUUAACAACCCUUACUUUUAUGUAUUUAACCUUCUUGUGAUUUAAUUACAUGUCUUUUAUUUUAAUUAAGUAUUUUAUGUAUUUUAGGGGCAUUAUAGUCAUUUCACAAUAAAGGAGAGAUCAGAUGGCAAAACGGACAUCACUUUUGAACUCAGGACGGUCGAAAACCUUAGGAGGAGCAUAAAAGGAAAAAUGGCACUAUUCACAUGUACGGUACUAUUCACGUAUACGGUACUGUCUACGUUACUGUUCACGAAACUGUUCACAUAGACGGAUCGAUGACGUGGCAUUGACCGAUGAUGUGGCAUUAACUGAUGAGGUGUCACGAUCCUGUUGGACUAAACUUCUUAUGUACUGUUGAUGGUGACGUGGCAGCAUAUCAGUGGAUGAAAAAUCUCGCGUACGGUGCAUGCAUCACACAGGAUUAUUUUCAACCAAACCGCGUUACUGUUCAUCCGGGUCAAACCGUGUUACUGUUCAUCCGCGUGGUCAAACCGUGGACUGUUGACUGAUGACGUGGCGCAAUCCUGAGCGUCCAAACUAUUUUUAAUCCGAUGGCCAUGAUUUACUCCAUGUAUCUAUAAAAAGGGGGCCUCCCCCCCCCUAAUUUGAUAUCUCUGAAUCCAUUUUUGGGAUCCAUUUUCUGUAAUUCCCUCUCCAUCUUGUAUUUUCUUUGUAUUUUAAUAAAUUCCCAUUUUGCCCCUAGUUCAAUUAUGAGUGGCUAAUUUUCUUUCAAGCUUGGGUUGAAGGUGAAGUCUCAACAUGUGUCAUGGGCUUUAUUUGGUAAAUUUAUUUUCUUUUCCCCUCUAGUUUUUGUGGAUGAUUUGACUUAUCGUCGACAAAUAAUACUGAUCUUGUCUAGAUACCGCCUUGGUUACACCGGCUCUCUAGUAUAAGGUUAUUAUUAUUUGGCACGAUAAGCCCUUAGCACCAUAUUGAUUAGAGCGUGGUUCAUGAGGUGUGGAUCCCCCCCUCAUGAUUUAAUUGGCAUUAAUACGGAUUAUUUAGCCCAUGAUGCAUGUUGAUACGGAUCCAGAUACCCAAGUACGUCAUUUCAAUAGAUUUCGCUUCAACUUAUUCUCGCCAUUGCAAUUCCAAUUUUAGAAUUUAUUAUCGCAAUUUCAAUUCCAAUUUUAGGAUAAUUUAAAUCACUUCCACCACAAUUCCAACCACCCAUUUUGCAAAAUUAAUUCUAUACACAAUUAAAAUCCUCCUCCUCGUGGGAUCGACACUCGUCACCAUUGAUCUACACUACAAUAGAUUCGUGCGCUUGCGAGUACAUUAAAAUUUGCACAACAAUACCCACAGCGGCUAAUAGAACUCCACCAUAUUUUGAUUUCAAGUGACACCCAUCCAACCCGAUAUAUGGCCUACAGCCAUUGUUAAGGGCAUUUUUUUAAGCUGGAAAUGCCAUAAAGAAUCUUUGAAAGAGCACUUUCUCAGGCCUAGUUACAGCAUCACAAAGCACUUUACAAAUUGCACCAGGAUCAUACUUGUGAAUCACUGCAGCAUAUUGAAACAAAUCUUCGUAUCCCCUCGCAUGAUCUCCAUUAAUGUCUUUUCUUGCCCUCUCUCUAGCCCUAUAUAGUUUUAAAUCCCCUAUCCGCACACCAUAAGUCUCCAGCAUAAACUCACGAAGAACAGAAAUCUUCACAUGCGCAUCUACAGCAACUUUGCUCUUAAUUUUCUCUGCUAUCCAUUUAUUGUUCACAGCCACUGACUUUCCAGUCUGUCUACAUUCAUGCUUCUUUUGCAACUCUUCGAUUGCAAAUCCACCCUUGCCCCUUAUUUUACCUCCCAUCACAUACCAUGGACACUCAUUAAUCUUGCAUUUUCUGUAAAAUCUCCUAGGCUCAUUGUACACCUUUGUAAUUUCAAUGCCUUUAUCCACCAUCACUUCACCUAACACAUAUCUAAACUGUUCAACAUCAUCAAAUACAUCUCCUAACCUCAGCCUAUGUUUACCAUUACGCCUUGGCUUAUAUGCAUGCACUUCAAUAUCAUCCUUCAGCUGAGUGGUACCCAAAUCAUAAUAUGAAUCUGAUGUGUCUGCUAACAGCUGAGGAUCUACUUCAGCUGUUUCAUCGUCAGAACUAGAACCCCUAGCAUCAUCCAUAAUAUCUGCACCAUUAUCUUCAUUUUGGUCAUCGUCAUCAGCAUCAUCAUCAUCAGUGUCAUCUAUACGACUCCCAUCAGUUGAAUAUACUACAUCAUCAUCAUCAUUCUCAUGCCCAUCAUUCUCAUUCAGUUCUGUUGGUGGCCCUUGUAUGCCUCCAGUCCUAGGUGGUGGUUCAUUUCCACCAUCAUUCACCCAUGUAAUUUGCUCUGCAGAUAACUGCACUCCACAGUUAUGUAGCAUCGCUUGUAACACCCCACAAAGUGGUAAAUCAGGACGUAGGGUUGGCAAAAUUGUGGCUUCAAACACUGCCACUUCCAUUUAAUCAUGUACAGCGAACUGAGCCUGCAACACUGCCUCAGAAUCUACAGUAAUCGAAAGCUUGUCCCUUGGGUUGGUAACCGAUAACUGCACACUUUCAGGAGUUUCUUCAUCUGCUGCAGGGUAUAUUCUUCAGGUUCAAUCAACCCUAUAGGAUGUCUUUCACCUUUGUAAAGUAAAUGUAGUUGUAAUGGUAACAUCAUCUACCAGAUUAAAAACGAGGAAACAUUUUGAAUAACUAAAAUUACAGCAUAACUCAAAGCAAUUUAAUUAGGUAAAAAGUAAUGAAAAAUAACUAAAAUUAUGGCCAAUAACCAAAAUUUCAGCAAAACGGCAAAUGCAUGUAAGCUUAAUGGUUACAAAUAAAAAAUUAAUUAACAGUAAGCAAAAAUUAAUUAACAAUAGGCAACUAAUAAUCCUAAUCUAUUAAAUUCAAGUGCCAAUCACAACUCAAAGCAAUUUAAUUAGGUAAAAAGUAACGAACAAUAAUCAAAAUUAUGCCCAAUAACCAAAAUUACAGCAAAACGGCAAAUGCAUGUAAGCUUGAUGAUUACAAAUAAAAUGGCAAAAAUUCAUUAACAAUAACCAAGCAGUAAUCCUACUUACAAUGGACAAAGUAGAAGACAGUAGAGAUGGAAGAACACUGCUGCGAGAGUGAGAGAGAUAUGCGUCAGUUACAAUGAGCGAGAGAGAGCAGAGAUGGAAGAAGAAUCGAGAGAGAGGGGGAUUGAUUUCGAUUUCUAGGGCUCCAUGUCCAAAUUGCCCGCUUUCUUUACAAUUGCAAAACGCAACGUUUUCGCCUCACGUGAUAUGUCCAAAAUACCCUUAUGACGUCAGCAUAAUUUUUAUUCAGUUAACGGAAUUGUGGGAAAAUGCUAACAGUUUAAACAUUUAGUGGUAAAAUGAUAGUUUUACCAAACCAUGGUACUGACAUGAUGUGUCAGAAUACCUUUAGUGGGAAAAUGAUAAUAUCCCUAUGUAAAAUAUAUAAAUCUAAAAAAUAGUCUUGAAUUUUUUUUUUUUUUGGGCUCCUGUUUUAUUAUUCUUUUUCUAAAGUAAUUUUCUCUCUUCUUAUUAAAGGCUUGAGAUAAAUUAUAUAUCCCUUUUUCUUUUAUUGAAUCAUAAUUCUUCGUUUCUUCUAUUGAAUCAUAGUUCUUGUGAUUUUGAUUUUUAGUAUGUAUUGCCUACAAUUUAUCAUUGAGGUAUCAGUUACAUAAAUAUAAUUUUCCAUUAAUCUUAUUUCGAAGAUGUUAAUGAAAUAUAUUUGGUGAAAACGAUAUUAGAGUGAGGAUACGUGCACCCAUGACAAAAAUUUGCAAAGAACUCUUCAAUCUUUCAAAUUUUCCAAUUGAUAAAGAAUUGAUUUAAAAAGAAGAAGAAGAUGAUGAUGGUGAUUUAAGAUUUUAUAAUACAUGGGUGUGUCAAGGAUAUUUGUUUCAAGUUAAAAUUAUUCAAUCCUUAAUACUAAUUUCAUAAAAGGACGUUUUUAUAAUCUAAAAUUUUAUUAAAUAAAGAGGAUUAAAAAUAACUUUUAGAAUAUAUAAAUAAAUAGCCUCUCUCGAUUAUAAAGUACAAGGUCACUCGAUGAUGUCAUGAAUUUAUGUAAUCAAAUAUGAAUUAUGUAAAUGAAACAUAAGACUUAUAAAUUUAAUAUAAAACAUGUAAAUCAAUAUUAACUGUGAACUAACAUAUAAAUUAUGUAAAUAAAAUAUUAGACUUGUAAGUAGAAGGUAAAACAAACAAAUUAAUAUAGGAGUGAUAAAUUGGUAUAUUAUUGGUAAAUAAAAGAAAAACUUACAAAUGUAAUAUAUAAUUUAUAAAUCAAUAUUAAGUGUGAAAUAAAAUAUAAAUUGCGUAAAUGAAACAUAAGACAUGUAAAUAAAAGAUAAAAUAAGUAAAUUAAUAUAAGAUAUAAUAUAAAACUAUUAGUAGUAAACAAAAUAAAAAUUUAAAGAUAUAAUAUAAAACUAUAAAUCAAUAUUAAGUACAAAAUAAAACAUAAGUUUAGGUGUAAUUUACAAAAUUAAUAUAAGAUUUAUUAAAAAAAACUUACAAAUGUAAAAUAAAAAUUCAUUAUAAUAUUGAUUACCUUAUAUAUUUAUUGAUUCUAUUUUAAAUUGAAUAAUGAUAGUUUUUAUCUUAUGUAAUAAAUGUGAUGUUUUAUAUAAAUUUAUUCUCAAAAUUAGAUUUUGAAAUCUAUUCUUUUAAUGUUUUUCGAAUUUAUUGUAAGAUGACAUGAUUUUUCAUCCUUCUAAAUCUCCUCAUCAGCAAUGCAAAUAGUUUCUAAAUACAAGUAAGGGGUGACGGUUAAAAUUACAAGAAGUUUAUGUAAAACUCAAAACUAGAUUUAAUUUUAUUAAUAUGUCAUCUAUGUGUUUAGUAAUAUAAGAAUAUAUUUUUAUUUUAUUUUUUGUUUAAUCCACAUUAAGAUAAAUUAUUUCGCAUAGUUAACUUGUGUAGUAAAACAAAAAAAAAAAAUGACAGAAAAUGAAAAAAAAUAAGUUUAUAAAUAUCUUAAGACAAAUAUAGAAUUUAUUCUUAAACCAAUUUAGUAAAACUUAUUCUACUUGUUUUCAGUAUAAUUUUUUUGGUCUUAGAUUGAUGACUAUUUUUUUUUCAUUGUUUAGCUAAAGUAAAUGAAUAAAUUAUUUUUUCACUAAAAUUAUGUAGAAAUCAUGUUAAUUAUUUUAAUAAUUAACUGGUUUAUAUUAAUUUACAUGUUUUAUCUUCCAAUCACUUAUCUUAUGUAUAAUUUUAUAAAAUAUAUUUUUUACCACACCAUUAAUGCUGUAAUUCUAAUCAUGGCAUUAUAAAAUUUUCCAAUGUGGGGAAACUUCUUUACUCUAAAUAAAACUAGAGUUGUGUUGAGCACAAUUUAAAUAUCUAAACAGAGUUCCGUUGGCAUUAAACUUCAUUAUAAAAGAGUCUACAUUGGCAUCAUGCUAAUCUUAUUGACAAUAUAUAGUUGCCGGUAUUAAUUAUUUUUGCACCAUAGCUUCCGUAGAAUCAAUUGGGUACCCAGUUCCGGAUGAAGGGUUGGAACCGCCGUUGGAGCAUGUACAUAAGAUGGAGACAACUCGAAUGAGUAGUUUUGAAGAAUCAUUGCCGUGGCCAUUUUUGCUUCUACUAGAGCAAAAUUUUGUCCAACACAUAUCCUAGGACCCAAUGCGAAUGGGAAAUAUGAAACUUGAUUUUUCGCCGCCUUUGAAAUUCCUUCCGCAAACCUUUCCGGCUUAAACUCAACUGCAUCGUCACCCCAAAGUUCAGGAUCCUGGUGAACUAGGAUCAUUGGCAAGCCAAUUUGAACCCCAGCGGGUAAUGUCAAGUUUCCGAGUUUCGUUUCCUUAAAAACAGCUCGACUAAGCACAGUUACGGGCGGAUAAAGCCUGAGUACCUCGUAAAGUAUCAUCUGGACCUGUCACAUACAUACAAACACAACUGAGAUUAAUAUGAUCAAAUUGAUCAAUAUCGAAUACUAUUUCCUUCGUACUUACAAUUUUGAGGUGAUUCAAUCCAUCAUAGUCGGGCUUAUUAUUGCCAAACACUUGCAAAACCUCUUGCCUUGCACGUUCUUGCCAAUCUUGAUGCUUGCUCAAUAAGACCAUCGUCCAAUUAAGCAAAACAGAGGUAGUCUCUUGGCCGGCAAAGUAAAAUAGCUUACACUCUUCAAUCACAUCGUUCAUGCUGAACCCAACAUUUUUGUUAUUUCCAUGUUCUUCAAUCUCUCUAAAACUGGUUUCCAUCAGUAUGCCUAACAAGUCAUCAUUCGCAGCUUCCCCUGCUCUCAUUGCCUUCUCCCUAUUUUUGAUGAUUCCCAUCAAUGAAGCCCGGAUUUCCUUGUCAAUUUCUUUCAUUCUCCUAUUUCUCUUUGUAGGUAAAAACCUAUAUAUAACCAAUGAAACAACUGAAAAGACAAGAACUAAACAAACUAAUCAAACCCUUAAUUUUUUUUUUGCCCUCUUUUACCAAUCAGAAAUCUGCUGGAGCCUCUUAGAAUAACUCUAUGAUUAGCACAAUCAAGAUAUCUGAGCCGAAAUCAGCUAGGUCUACUUCUAAUAUUUUGCGGGAAAGAAAAUAACUCCCACAAAGCUAAUCAAAGCCUACUCAUAAAUAAUCCUAUAUGACAUGUAUAUAUGAAUGUUUCCAGUGAAGAGAAAUGUGAAUAUACCUCCAUCCUGGAAUGUGAACUGAACGAAAGACUUGCAUUGUGAGUUCAGCUAGCUCUGCCUGGAGCUGAAAAAUCCUUCUUCCUUCUUCAUAACUACUCCCAAAAGCCGUUCGAGAAAUCACAUCACUUGUUAAAUUUGCAAGAUAAGGCCAUACAUCCAACUCAGAUGAUCCUUCUACAGACAUUUGCUUCUCCCACUUUGUAAUUAUUUCGAUACAACUCAAGUAGAAUGCUGGCAACAUAAGCUGUAACAAAAGCAAGAAAUCUAAAUGAGGGCAAAAUCGAAUCUUCCAAAGAUAUGUAAACAAAUGGAGAAGUUAAUUAAUAAACCUUGAGCUUCUCUUGGUGGAAGGCUGGGUUGAUGAGUUUUCUAUGUUUAGCCCACUUCUCCCCCUCAAGGGUAGCCAAUCCAACUAUCAGCAGCCUGGCAAGUGGGAUUGAAUUGACUUUUUGAAAAUCAUUGAUCCUGGUAAAUAUCUCUUUUAUUUGAUCAGGAUUCAUAAUGUUCACCCUUGGUGUCGGACCAAACCACAUGAAAGAAUUCUUACCUGCAGAAUUUUUUUACCAAUAUAUACGCACAUGUUACUUGCUAGAGGCAGAUGGUACAUUGAAAAUGGUAGUAUACCUAAGCUGUGAAAAUUUAGUUAUUUUAUUCACAAAUCAGUCAAAGAAUAACCAUUCAUACUAAUUGAUUUUACUUCAAGCAGAAAAGAUCUAACAAGCAACUUUGCCCAUUAUAAGGUAAACAAUUAGAAACAUGGCACGAUUUUAUAAGAUUAUGUAAAAGCCUAAUGGCUUUGAAACAGUGAAUUAAUCAGACAACACUCAGCAAAAGGAACAACGCUGCCCUCUGGAAAUUUUACAUGUGGCAUAGCCCAUCCACUGGUUGAAUUACACCCACACGCCUAUCUCAUCAAGACAUUAGUGGUUCUAGCCACUCGGUCAAGGCUGAGUGGUAAAGUAUCACCACUUAAUUAAAAAGAAAAGAGAGAGAGAGAGAGAGAAGUUUAGCUGCAACAUCGAUUUUUUUCUCUGAUCAAAGAAGCGUAAAAAUAAAAUUAUGUUUUAACCCACCAAAAUUUUCCAGAAUUAUCUUUACGUGAAACAUCUCUUCUGAAUCAGAAGUCUAAUCAAAUUUCUUUCAUCAGACAGGAUUAAUUCUUUAAGCAGUGGCGCAGUCCAGAUAUUUGAGUCAUUUGAGUCCAGAACAGAACAAAUCUACUUUUGAACGAGUAAAGUUAAAAGAGUACACGCCGGGAUUGACAUACAUACCAUAAUCAUUUACCAGUUUAUGAAGGAAUGGAUUGACACGAAUAGCAAUAUUGUCAUCCAAACUGAGGGGUCUGGCUUUGGCUUCCUUCAGCUCGAUGGAAUUUUCUUUCAAGUCACCAAACAGAAGCCUGUAAGAAUUGCCUUUUAAACCUUGCUGUCUCAGGAAUUUCUCCAGCUUCUCGGGCCUCAGCCACACCCAGUUCAGCACUCUCCAUGCCCAUGUUAGCACCGUUACAAUAACAAUGGUCAAAGCUAUGGAUUUCAGAGGCAACUCCAUUUCACACUGACAGAUUUUGUGGGUUUAAAUUUGAAGAGACGAACGAGAAGAGUAUAUAUAGUCAUCAAGCGAAUGAGAAAAUCGUUUUCCUUUGCAUGUGUCUUUGAUUAGGUGUUUUCUGGAUCGAUGAUUUCAGAAUUUCCCCGGACAAAGACAUUGUCCCCAGUAAGCGGUGUUAACGAUACGUGUCAAGCUUGCAUGCGACUGUGAACUGUGGACUUUGUUCUAGAACUAGACUGUAUGGGAUCGAUUAAUUUUAAAAAAUAAACUAAAAUUCAUAUAGUAAGAAUUUUUAAGUAUAAAUGUUUGUAAAAUAAAAUCUAAACCUACAUUUGAAUGGCAAGCAUCUAUAAACAAGAUCUGUAUUCUGUCAUAUGACGCCAGGAAAUAUACUGCCUUUUCGUAAAUGCAUAAUCAAGCAGCAUGAUGUGCUCUGCUUUCACACGAAUGUAGGUCCACUAUGUCUUGGCUUUUACGGAAUUUCAAUUAUAUUGUUAUGGGGAUUAAUGGCUCUGCUUAAUUUUGGGGCCUGCUUUCAGAGAAAUGCAAAACGAUUAGAACUCUGCUUUGUGAUACAGACAAGACGCAAUGGUUCUAUCAUCUUCAUCUCUACUAUUUCAUUUAUCUUUAUCAUGAAUAUAAUCCACGAUUCUCAAACAUGAUAAACAAGGUCACAAACUAUGGUGUACCAAUCGGCUGUUUUUUUUUUUUAACUUAAUUAAUUUAAUUUUAACCAUUUAAAUCAUUGAGUCCAUUUAUUUUUUCAACUUAAUGAAAAUUUUCAAUCACUAAAUCAUUCAGUUAUCAAGCUAAUUUUUAAAUUUUUUGUUUAAUCUAAAAAGUCUAAAUAAUAACAUUAAAAGAUAUUCUCUAAAAUAUCUCUAUCUAAUUAAUUAAUUUUUACCCUUACCUAAAUAAAUUUUAAUAAUUGAUGUUAUUACCUACCUCUAUAACUUGUGAUAAUAUAGUGCACUAGUAGACUACUAUUAUUUUUAAUUUUUUAUUUUCUUCAAAUUAAAAUUAUUUAUCUUCAUAAUUUUUCAUCAAUAUUUUUCAUAUAAAAACAUCGUAAACUAUAGUAAAAAUGAUUAAUAUAUACUAAUUUAGAAUAUUAAAAAGAGUAUAGACAUUAUGAGACAGUAUCAUUAAGCAGCUACUGGAAUAAGAUGUUAUGAGCCUAAAUUUUAUAAGGUCAAAGUUGAAUUUGGCCGAUCCUCUAACCAAAAAAACUAAACAAGAGUUUAGUAGAGAUCACAUCAAGGGAGAUGGGACUAGUGUCUAGAUUAGAAGACAAGAGUGAUGGUAACCCUACCUAUGUGAUUGGAGAUCACAUGAAAAAUGUUCAAUAAGUUACUUGUUGUUUUGGAACACUAUCAAUAUUAUGUAAUCUUAUUUUUAUUCAAUAAAGAUUUUCUUUAUUUAUAAGUCCUCGUUAUAAUAAGAUAAUGUUUAUCGCAGUGAGUUAGGUUAAGCAAUUGAGCUUUUAAUGAACUCCAUAACUCACUUUUUAUGUAUGGUGGUGUGUUAAAACUGCAUGACAUACUUGAUGGAGGUUCACCUAUGUUAGUGUGGAAUUGGAUAAGUUCCUAUGAGAGUUAAACAUGCUUCUCUAGAGCGCUCAUGAAUACAAGAGCACAGGGCUACUAAAGUGCCAAACCGUAGAACAACAAAACAUUGAGAGAGUUUAAUGUGAGCUUCUAGUCAGCUGCCUUACAAAAAAAAGAAUAUUGGUUUAUAGAAAUUAUCAGUUUCACCAAGUUCCUAUGACACAUGGUUAGUUAUUCAAUGGCCAAUUCAUAACCCAAAUGGCACCAGUUCAUAUGCAUUAAACUCUAUGGACAAUGAUGAAAGAAAUUGAGUAUUUUGAAAUAUGUGGAGGAUUGUUAAAGAUUGAGUUUGUAUUUUAAAAUACCAAUAUUCCACAUUGCUUAAACAACAGAGUAUAAGUUGGUUUUUAUAUAGAUACCAAAUAUAGUGUAGUAACAAGCCUAUGAAGAGGAGGCCCAUAUGCAUGAAACCAAGAGCGAGUGAGGAGCUCAUUCCAUGACUCUAUUAAUUGGUUGCUCGUACCCAAUAACUCACUCGCAAUGGGGACCCUCCUUCCCCCCAUGGGGUGUUGUGUAUAUGUGUGGGCUUGGCCAUUUAUUAUGUUUUUGUCCUUUGUUUUAAUUUUAUUUAUUUUAAUUUGAAUUAAAUUGAGAAUUUAAUUCCUAAUCGAAUUAGGAUUUAAUAAAUAUAAUUAGAGUGAUGAUACAGCCAUAAACUCUUGUACAAACUUAUUUUGUACAAACUGAUGUGUCAUUAAUUCAUUGGCUGAAUAAAAAUAUAAAAUAAUAAAAAUAAAUCAUGUGGGCCAAGUAAUAUUUAAUUUAACCAAUCUUAUCAUGCCACAUCAGUUUGUACAAAAUAAGUUUGUACAAGAGUUCGUGACUAUAUCAUUACUCAUAUAAUUAUAAUUCGAAUUUAGAGAGGAAAAAGGGGUUAGGGCUUGUAUCUAUUUAAAGAGCCGAAUAUAUCACACUAUGGUCAUCCGAAAAUUUACUCUCUUGCUCUCUUCAUCCGAAAACUUACUCUCUUGCUCUCUGUUCUUUGUUGCUCUCUGUUUUCCUUUCUUUCGUCAUUGUACGUUUUGCUAUUCUAAACUAUCAAGUUGAAGUGCAACAUCACAAUCGUAAUAGUAAUUGUAUCAUAGAAAUCAAACUACUUUUGUUAGCCCUUCUUGCACCGAAAUACUGCAUCUUGAGAUAUCUUAAGGACAGUGCUAUCGCCAGCCUUAAAUGUUUGUUGUUUCCGUCCAAAUUUCAUUGUUUUUCAUCCUAAAAUUCCGACUGCUAGACCAGUAUAACUACUGGGGGAUAGAGCCUGGAUACCUAGUAGAAUAUCAUUUGAACAUGUAAGAUAUGCACACAAAAAGCAAAUUAAUACGACCAAAAUUUAUCAACUAUAGUAAAGCAUAUUUCAACUCAAUUUCAUUCGUACUUACAAUUUUGAGGUGAUUCAAUCCACCAUAAUCUUGCAAAAAACUUGCAAAAACUCUUUUCUUGCACGUUCUUGCCAAUCUUGAUGCUUGCUCAAUAGCAACAUUGUCCAAUUAAGCAAAACAGAGGUAGUCUCCUGGCCAGCAAAGUAAAAUUGCUUGCACUUUUCGAUCACAUCGUUGAAGCUUAUUCCAACAUUUUUGUUGUUUCCAUGUUCUUCAAUUUCUCUAAAAUUGGUCUCCAUCGGUAUGCCAAGUCAUCAUUUCCAGCUUCCUCUGCUUUCAUUGCCUUCUCUCUGUUUUUAAUUAUUCCCAUCAGUGAAGCUCGUAUUUGCUUGUCAAUUUCCUUCAUUCUCUUAUUUCUUUCUGAAGGUACCAGCCAGCCUAUAAGAAAUAGGAACAAUAGAAAAUACAAGAACGUAUUGAAUGCACUAAUCAAAUCCUACUUAUCGAUUUCAACAAUAUGAUUAACAUCUUAGAUUAACUAUAUGACGACAUGGAUCGAAGUUAUAAGCCCAGGAUGGGCCAAACCUACUUCCAUAUUUUUGAAAGAAAAUCAACUCCUACAUUGCUAAUUACUCCCAGAAGCCGUCCUCAGAAUCACAUCACUAGUUAAUUUUGCAAGAGAAGGCCGUACACCCAACUCACACGAUCCUCCUUUGGACGUCAGGUUCUCCCACUUUGUAAUUAUUUCACUACAACUUUGGUAGAACGCAGGCAACAUAAGUUGAAACGAAACAGAAAGAAAUUAAAAUGAAGACAUUUAUGUAAACAAAUGAAGAAAUCAAUUAAUAACCUAGAGCUUCUCUUGGUGGAACUGGUUCAUAAGAUUUCUAUAUUAACCCACUUGUCACCUCAUGGCUAACCAAUGCAAGUGCCAAUAAUCUGGCAAGUGGAUCUGAAUUGAUUUUUUGAAAAUCAUUGAUCUUGGUAGAUAUCUCUUUGAUUUGAUCGGGCUUCACAAUAUUCAACCUUCGUGUCGGACCGAACCACAUAAAUGAAUUAUUGCCUGCAUCAAUUUUUAAGCUCUGGUUAUUUUGCUCGUGGCAUAACUUACCACAGCUUGAGUUACACCCAUUAGCCCAUGAUAUCAAGAAAAUUAUUGGUCUCGCAAACAACAUAGCUCAAAUGUUUCAACACCAUACAUAUUUUCUUCAUUAAUAAAAAAACAAUUACGUUUUAACCCAUAAAAAUAUUCAAGAAUUAUCUUGAUGUGUAUGAUCUCUACUAACUACAAUUAUAACGAGAAGUCUAUUUGGAUUUCUUCCACUUAUAACAGCUCUACAAUUGUGCAAACUGAAUUAGUUUUAUUAAUAAUGGCACAAUCCAGUCGAGAUAUUAUCGUCUAAACUUUCUUUCAAGUCACCAAACAGAAGCCUGCAAGAAUUGCCUUUGAAACCUUUGCUGUCUCAGGAAUUUCUCCAGCUUCUUGGGCCCCUCAGCCACACCCAGUUCAGCACUCUCCAUGCCCAGUUCCCACUGUUACGAUAACAAUGGUCAGGUCUAUGGAUUUCAGGGGCAAUUCCAUUUCACACAGAGAGAUUUUUGAAGUGUUCAAAGAAAUGAGACUUGCCUACGUGGUAGAUUAGUUGAAAGUGAAUUAAAAAAAUAUUUUCGUUUGCAUAUGUUUAAUGGCUUUUCUUAGUUUCGAAUUUUCCUGUACCAUUAUAUUGUUUCCAGCUAAUGGUACACGUGUCAAUAUCAAUCAUGCAUGUGGUGAUCUUUGUGGACUUGUCACUCAUUGACUGUCUUCUAUAGAACUAGAGAAUGUAAGUUCGGUUAAUUAUUUGAAAAAAAAAAUUGUUUACCCCUAAUACAUUAAUUAUUCUCAAAAUAUCCUCAAACUAUAAUAAACAUUAAUCAAUCCACAAUUACUAUUAAGAAGGUAAAAAAAGAAAAAAGAAAUCAUCAAUCGUUCCCAUUUGAUCUUAUUUUUUGAAUGAUCAUUAGGGUAAAUUAAGGUUUACAAUAAUUUAGAGAUAACUGAAAUUAAUAAAAAAAUAAAUAAAAUAAAACUCAUCUAAAUAAAUUAUGCAUGGUGGGCCUAUUUGCGCUUUAAAAAAUACUCAAAAUAUACUAUUAUUUAUGUAUACUCAUUUACUUAUUUUAUAAAAAGGGUAGGGCUAUUUGCACUCUUAACAUUACUAUGAAUAUUCUUAUUUUAAUAAAUUAUUUUAUUACAAAAAUACCUAUUAUAUGAAUUACUAAUAUGGAAUCUCUCUUAUAAACUAACAUAAUAAAAUUACUCCAAACACUCACUAUUCAAUAUAUGAUUAUCUUGCCAUAAACCCGAAAAAUUUUUAAUCCAAUAUCUUAAACAAUAUUUAGUUAAACAAAGAGCAAAUCAAUACUUUUAAUAUAUUUUGAGCAUAUUUUUACUCUUUGAUUUUCAGAAGAAAAAAAAAAUUGCAGUCUUCUUCCUCUUCCUCAUCCUUCUUUUAGUCUUCUUUUUCUUCGGCUAUUUCUUCUUCCUCUUGUUUUCCUUUUUUUCUUUUUUUCUUUUUUUUUGGCUAGAUGGCAAAAAUAUUUUCAAUUGUUUGGUUAAAAAAUUGGGUGCAAAAACUAAUAUUGAAUACAUUCUUUAAUAGACAAAAGCUAAUAAAGAAUAUGUUUAGAAUAUAAUUUGAUUCCUUUGUGUACAUACUAAGUUGUUAUUAAUUCAUUUUGGAUGCUCAAUAGUUUAAUUGGUGUUUUGAGUAAAUUAGUUUAACUAGUUUAAUUAAGGUCUUUUUUUUGUAUUUUAAAGAGUGUAGAAAGUAAAUUUUAAUUAUUUUAAAUUCAGCACAUGAUUGUACAGACUAAUAAAGUGUUCAAAGUAAUUUUUGGAGUAUAAAUAACCUAAUCUUUUGAAAAAUGGUGGGACUAUUUGAAUCCACCAUAAUACUCAUUUGACCCACUUUUUAGAAAACAUUUUUACUACUAAAUUGUCUCUAACGUAAAUCACUAUUAAAGACAUAAUAGUAUGUAUAUACUUCAUGCUCUCAUCUUUUAAUCAUGUCUAAAUCUGUUCAAUGUAGACAUAAGAGAAAAUUGGUUUCAUACUUUUAAAUUUUUUUUAAAAUUUUCUUCAACUCCUUUGGUCGAAAACAAAUCUAAUCGAGUUGUUGGAUACUUGGAUUUGGUCAAAACUAUCUCACCAGUAAAGCUCAUUCGAAUCCAAUAAACCAAUAAGUUCUAGUCAAGAUAUUCUAGAUUCAAGCAAUAAAAUUUAGGAAAAUUAUCAGUCAUAUACUUUUAAAUGACACCCGCAUUAAACGUGUGUGAACACUUUUCAAAUGUAUCACUCGUGUACCCUAAGAUGACAAAACACUUCUGCCAUCCGCCAAUCCGUUAACUUCCGUUUGCAAGCGUUGACAUCAUAAGGGCAAUUUAGUCUUUUAAGAUUGACGAAACUUUGAUUUACAAAAACGACAUGUCAUCUCAUUUACCUAGUACAAAAUGACAUGUCAUAUGAUAUAUAUUGACAAAAAUGACAUGUCAUCCCAUUUAUCGGAUAAUUGUUAAUAAUUGCUAAAAAAACUACUUUACAACCGAAUCUACUCCUCUAAAAUUUAACCUAAUUUUGAAGAUCUACUCCUCCAAGUUCCAACUGGAAAGUUUUAUGGUAUAAUAUGUAUAAUUGUGAAUAAUAUGUUGUUAAUAAUUUUUUAUGGUAUAAUAUGGAUAUUUUUUAUGAAUAAUUGUUAAUAAUAUGUACCAUUAAUAAUUCAUUUUUUUAAUAAAAAAAUGUAUUGUUAAUAACAAAAUAAAAAAAAAUUGUGUAUUGAAAAUUUACGUUAAUUUUUGGGGUAAAUUUAUCUUUUUACCUUAUAUUUUGAGUUUCAAGGGUAAAAUAGUCAAUUUGUCACAAUUCUGUUAACUUUCUAAUGGAAGUUAACGAAUCUAAUGGAAGUUAACGAAUUGAUGGAUGGCAUAAGUGUUUUGUCAACUUAGGGUAUACGAGUAAUACACUUGAAAAGUGUUCACACACGUUUGAUACGGGUGUCAUUUAAGAGUAUAUGGCUGAUAAUUUCCCUAAAAUUUAUUUCAUUAAAUUUGCACUAUAUAAGAAAGGGAAAAGUUAUGCCAUUGACAAAUAUUGAGCGCUUGAAUUAGUUGUGUGAUCAAUUGAUUAUUGAUUACAACUAUCAUCUUAUUGUCAUUUAAUUUUUUCAUGAUAUUAUAUAUAUUUUAUAGCAGUUUAAUGACAAGCACGGACAAAAAAUAAAUUCCACUUGAGAAGUUGAAGGAUACGACCUUUGGUUAUGAAUGCGUCAAGGGUUGGAGAGAUGGAAGAAGAAGAAGAGAAGAAAAAUGUUGCAGAAAAUCAUGAAUUAAUUUCAAGGAUAUGUUGGUUAUUAACAUGGGUUUAUAAAGUAUAAUAUAAAAUUUUUAACAAUAGAAUUAAUAAGUAGAUGAGUUUACAAAGUAAUUUGGUGGGUUCAAAUAUACUCACUCUUUAAAAUAAUUAGUUUUUACUCUGCAUACUCUUUUUUUUUUUUUUAUGAGAAAGUAAAGCUUUCAAUUGAUUAAGAAGAAGAAAACAACAUCAACACCUAGACAGGGAAAUCACCUAUCCAGGUGACAGCAUCCUCAAACUCAAGAGCUACAUUAGCUAAGUUAUGGGCUAUUACAUUACACUUUCUUGGGACAAAACGAAUAGCUGCCGAGGCCUGGUUUUUCAACUCUGCUUGUAUUUCUUCAAUGUUCCAACAAAUUUUAGCUAAACUUUCCUUCUUGUUUAAAGUGAGCUCCACAACUUCCUUCAAGUCUGAUUCAACAAUGAAUUGGGCACAAUUUGUUUUCUGAGCUACUUGAAUACCGAGCAGCACUGCUUCUGCCUCCAUGUUUGCCACAUUUCCUUUUAAAGCUACUCUCUUAACAGCUGCAGCCAUGAUCUCAUAAAAUACUAAAAAAGCUACUCUCUUAACUCUAUACACUCUUUAAAAUACUAAAAAAGUCCUCAACAAAACCUUUAAGUAAAUCAAUUAAGAAUUUCAAGCUAAAAUAAAUCUAUACAUGUAAUCACAAUUUAUUAAAAAUGGUAGUAAAACUUUUAUAUUUGAAGUCAAGUACUUAAUUACCAAGCUUAAAUAAAUUAAACAAUUAAAAUUUAUUCAUCUUUUUAAAUUUUAAAAUAUUAUUAGUCAAAAGUUUCAAUAAUAAACUAAACUCAACUUAACAUAAAGUUAUUUGGGUGUCAUUGUUUCUUUGUCAUACACUCUACCUUUUUUUUUAAGAACCUACUGUUGACUGUUUUUCUAUCAAAAACUCCUUAAAAUAUUUAAAUUUUAUCUUCUAACUUGUCCUCUUGGUUAAUGUAACUAAUAACUAAAAUCUCAAAAUUCACAUAAAAGUUUAUGAAAUGUUGAUAUAUAGUUGUUACUAUAUUUUGUUUUUGUAAGUAUUGGCAUUUUUUCAAUUAAAUUAUUUUUAUAAAUAAAUUAAAACAGUAAUAAUAUUUUAGUCCCCAAAUCUUUUCAAUCUAUUCAAUAAAUAUAUAAUUUAAUUUUUUCAUGAAAUAAGUCACUAAUUCCAAUUGGGAAGAAAAUAUAAUUGAAUUAGGAACAUAUUUAAAAAUAAAAUAAAAACUCUAUUAUUUUAUAAAAAUUGAUAAAAAAAAAAAAAACAUAAGGGUAGUUAAAUUAGGGACAUAUAUGAAAAAAAUAAAACUAUAUUAUUAUAUAAAAUUAAUGAAAAAAUAAGGGGUAUAAAUAACUUUCCUGGACUAAUCCGGGCUACACCCCCGCUUAGGUCCGCCUGCGCACUCAUUACUCCAAAUACAACGUUUAAAUUUUAAAAUCAAAUUUUUACUAUGUAAAAUAUAUAAAUCUAAAAAAUAGUCUUGAAUUGUUUUUUUUUUUGGGGCUCCUGUUUUAUUAUUCUUUUUCUAAAGUAAUUUCUCUCUUCUUAUUAAAGGCUUGAGAUAAAUUAUAUAUCCCUUUUUCUUUUAUUGAAUCAUAGUUCUUCGUUUCUUUUAUUGAAUCAUAGUUCUUGUGAUUUUGAUUUUUAGUAUGUAUUGCCUACAAUUUAUCAUUGAGGUAUCAGUUACAUAAAUAUAAUUUUCCGUUAAUCUUAUUUCGAAGAUGUUAAUGAAAUAUAUUUGGUGAAAACGAUAUUAGAGUGAGGAUACGUGCACCCAUGACAAAAAUUUGCAAAGAAGUCUUCAAUCUUUCAAAUUUUCCAAUUGAUAAAGAAUUGAUUUAAAAAAGAAGAAGAAGAUGAUGAUGGUGAUUUAAGAUUUUAUAAUACAUGGGUGUGUCAAGGAUAUUUGUUUCAAGUUAAAAUUAUUCAAUCCUUAAUACUAAUUUCAUAAAAGGGCAUUUUUAUAAUAUAAAUUUUUAUUAAAUAAAGAGGAUUAAAAAUAACUUUUAGAAUAUAUAAAUAAAUAGCCUCACCCGAUUAUAAAGUACAAGGUCACUCGAUGAUGUCAUGAAUUUAUGUAAUCAAAUAUGAAUUAUGUAAAUGAAACAUAAGACUUAUAAAUUUAAUAUAAAACAUGUAAAUCAAUAUUAAUAGUGAAAUAACAUAUAAAUUAUGUAAAUAAAAUAUUAGACUUGUAAGUAGAAGGUAAAACAAACAAAUUAAUAUAAGAGUGAUAAAUUGGUAUAUUAUUGGUAAACAAAAGAAAAACUUACAAAUGUAAUAUAUAAUUUAUAAAUCAAUAUUAAGUGUGAAAUAAAAUAUAAAUUGCGUAAAUGAAACAUAAGACAUGUAAAUAAAAGAUAAAAAAAAGUAAAUUAAUAUAAGAUUGGUAAAUUAAUGUAUUGGUAGUAAACAAAAUAAAAAUUUAAAGACAUAAUAUAAAGCUAUAAAUCAAUAUUAAGUACAAAAUAAAACAUAAGUUUAGGUGUAAUUUACAAAAUUAAUAUAAGAGUUAUUAAAAAAAACUUACAAAUGUAAAAUAAAAACUCAUUAUAAUAUUGAUUACCUUAUUUAUUUAUUGAUUCUAUUUUAAAUUGAAUAAUGAUAGUUUUGGUCUUAUGUAAUAAAUGUGAUGUUUUAUAUAAAUUUAUUCUCAAAAUUAUAUUUUGAAAUCUAUUCUUUUAAUGUUUUUCAAAUUUAUUGUAAGAUGACAUGAUUUCUCAUCCUUCUAAAUCUCCUCAUUAGCAAUGCAAAUAGUUUCUAAAUACAAGUAAGAGGUGACGGUUAAAAUUACAAAAAGCAUCUGUAACACUCAAAAUUAGAUAUAAUUUUAUUGAUAUGUCAUAUAUCUGUUUAGUAAUAUAAGAAUAUGUUUUUUUUUUUUAAUCCACAUUAAGAUAAAUUAUUUCGCUUUGUUAACUUGUGUAGUAAAAAAAAAAAAACAAUGACAGAAAAUGAAAAAAAAAAGUUUAUAAAUAUCUUAAGACAAAUAUAGAAUUUAUUCUUAAACCAAUUCAAUAAAACUUAUUCUACUUGUUUUCAGUAUAAUUUUUUUGGUCUUAAAUUGAUGACUAUUUUUUUUUCAUUGUUUAGCUAAAGUAAUGAAUAAAUUAUUUUUUCACUAAAAUUAUGUAGAAAUCAUGUUAAUUGUUUUAAUAAUUAACUGGCUUAUAUUAAUUUACAUGUUUUAUCUUCCAAUCACUUGUCUUAUGUAUAAUUUUAUAAAAUAUAUUUUUUACCACAACAUUAAUGCUGUAAUUCUAAUCAUGGCAUUAUAAAAUUUUCCAAUGUGGGGAAACGUCUUUACUCUAAAUAAAACUAGAGUUGUGUUGAGCUCAAUUUAAAUAUCUAAACAGCUCUUGUCUAAGCUUUGAAUCUCAAUACAAAAUUAAAGGUGUGUUUGGCACGCAGCAUUACACCACAUUAAAACUCUGUAUUGUAUUAAAUCAAUACAAUAUCAUGUUUGGUAAAAAGUUAACUUUGUAUUAAACCUCAUUAUAAUACACCAAACGCCGCAAAAAAUAAACCCGUGGGGGAGUCGUAAUUAGGCCGCAUUGCAUUCGAAAAGAGAAAUAAAAUAUUUUCUUCUUCCAAACACGAUCCUCAGCCACGACCAUGAAACAAAAUUUCCCUUCUCAAAACCCAAAACAAUACUUUUCUCUCAAACUCACUCAUCUAUUCACUGAUUUUCCUCCAUUCUCCUUCAAUUUCUCAAGAGCCAAACAUAGCAAACGCCUUGUCAGUGCGGCCAAGCCCAGCCGUCGUGCAGCGUGAAUCAUUAAAUGAGUGGUGCAGCCGCAGCAUCUGAAUCUUUAAUUGGAGCGACGGUGUCAUUUGAAUUCGAACAACAGCGUGGUGCGGCGGUGGUGCUAUGGCGAGAUUCGAACGGAUUCACGUGCAGAUUUCAUUUUUCCAUUUAGGUAUUCAAGUGUUUUAGUUGAUGGCUCUAUAAAGCCAAAUAAAUAAAUAAAUAAAUAAUAAUAAUCUAUUGAAAUCAUUUUCAUGAAAUCUGGAAGUGUAGAGGCGUUGAUGUGAGAGAGAGUGAGUAAGAGGGUAGUGGAGAUUGUGGUGUUGAAUUGAUGAAUUUAGGAGAUGGGCAUUUUUUUUUUUAAUUUGUUGGCUUGUUUGUUGGUUUGAAUGUUUGUGUUCUGUUUUCUAGCAAUUGUUGUGGGAAUGAGGUGAAUGUUAAGAAUUUGGAGAAGAAUGUAAAAAUAUUGGUGAUUCGAAUUUUUCAAAAAAAAAAAGAAAAUCAUGGUUGAUUCUUGCAUGAAUAAGAUGAUUGCUGCUAGAACAGUCAGUUACUUUUUUUUUUCUGUUUCCCAAUGUUUCACUUUUCCAACUCUUGUUGAUUCAGGGGAAGCCUGAGUUGGUGGCCGAUGAUGAAACCAAGAUGGCACAGAUGGUUUGCUCUCCAACAAACCAUGAAGAGUACACGGCUUGUGGAAGUUAAAGGAGCAAAUUCUGGUUAUAUUCCUUGAAAAAUAUAUAUUACCUAGGCAUAGGUUACUGACCCUUAAUUGAAGGGGGCAUGUUUUGAUAAUAUGGGUAUCUGAAGUAUGAUUAAAUAACUUUAACAUGAAGUAACUUAAAAUGCUAUGUAUAGCUUAUGUGUUAAUAUAUCUUGUUAACUGUAUAGUUCCUAUUUUGUGCUGGGUUGCUGUAUUAAGAGUUUGAAUACUGUGGAACCUGAAGUAACGAUGACAAUUUAUUGAAUUAGGUUAUGACAAUUUAUUGAAUUAGGUUAAUUACAAUUAACACUAGUGUUACUCAUGAUUGCAAAGUUGUAUUUUUUGGUCCGAUUUUAUCCUAGGAAUGAUAUGAGAAGUUUUAAAUAUGGUGCUUUACUUAAGAUUUUAUAUGCCUUCUUGUGAAUUCAUGCAUACUUAUUCAUGUCUCACAUCUUCUCAUUGGGUGCUCAGAACGCAUUUUGGUAAUUGCAUGCAAUAACAUUGAGGGGUGAAUGGUGAUGGCCUCCUUAAAUGGAAGAAAUGAAUGAAUGGAUUAGGAGAAGCCACAGUAAGAGUGGAGUGCAUUUGAAAUUCCUAUCACACCCAUUUGGAUGCACUGUUUUCCACUCUAUUUAAAUUUCCUUUAUCCUUCAAAUUAAGUUGAAAGUAGUUUUGAAUUUUGAUGAUGGAGCCUUAGACUCUUGAAAAUCUUGAAGAUUGCGAUGUUGCUGAAGAGCAUGGAGAUGGAGUGAUUGCUGAAGAUGCUGAAGCUGGUGUUGCUAUUGUUGCUGCAAUAGUGAAGUUGUUGAGGUUAGUAGCAGCAUUGUAAAUGGCGGUGUUGUUGCUGCUGAAGAGAGCCCGCAUGGUAAGGGAUGAUAUUUGACAUUAUUUAUGGAUAUAGCAUAACCGUUCUUAUUCUAAUAUUCAACAUUAAUUUUACAGAUGAAGAGAAGCCUUAAUAUUGCUGCUUGCUAGGGAAAGAAUAAGUGAAGAGAAGCUGAAUCAGAUCUUAGAAGACAUGCUUGAAGGUUUUUUUUCCAAUAAAAAGAGAAGCAACAUCACAAAGACUACUUAUUGGGGCAAAAUUAAUAUUGGGAAGAAGAAUAAUCCGUGGGAAAAUGCUAUGUAGAUGCUCCUAAGAUAGAGAUAUAUGAGUUUUGUAACUAAGUUAAUAUCUUGGUUACUAAUUAUAGUGAAACACAUUUAUUUAGAUUCUUAUUAGGUUUAUUAUUUUCUUGGAACUUGCUGUGGACAAAGAAUUUAAUAUGUCAAGUGAAUUGUGUCUAUUGUACAUCGACUUUAACAUAUAAUAAAUCAAUAAAUGAUUCAAUUUUAACAGUACCUGUAUUUAUAUCAAUAAGACUUUCAAAGAUACUAUAAAUAUAAGUUUGUAUAUUUGAAACCCUAGUGUUCAAUAAAUUUGAAUAAUAUUAAUUUAUUAAUAAAUUAAUAUUUUUACAUUAUAAUUUAUUCAUAAAUUUAUAAUUUAUUAUAACUAAUAAUAAAUAUUUAAAUUUGAAUAAAUUUGAAUCAUAUUAAUUUAAAAUUAAUAAUAAUAUAAAUAAUAUAAAAUAUUAACACAAUUUAAAUAUAUUAAUAUAAUAUAAUAUAAUAUUUAAUUUCAAUUAAUCACAAAAAAAUAAUACAGUGUAGCACCAAAUAUUGUACAAUAUUAUUAUAAUACAGUACUAAUGCAAUACAGUAUAAUACAAUACAAUGUGCCAAACGCACCCUAAAUACAUUAAACUUCAUUAUAAAAAAGUCUACAUUGGCAUCAUGCUCAUCUUAUAGUUGCCGGUAUUAAUUAUUUUUGCACCAUAGUUUCCGUAGAAUCAAUUGGGUACCCAGUUCCGGAUGAAGGGUUGGAACCGCCGUUGGAGCAUGGACAUAGGAUGGAGACAACUCGAAUGAGUAGUUUUGAAGAAUCAUUGUCGUGGCCAUUUUUGCUUCUACUAGAGCAAAAUUUUGUCCAACACAUAUCCUAGGACCCAAUGCGAAUGGGAAAUAUGAAACUUGAUUUUUCGCCGCCUUUGAAAUUCCUUCCGCAAACCUUUCCGGCUUAAACUCAACUGCAUCGUCACCCCAAAGUUCAGGAUCCUGGUGAACUAGGAUCAUUGGCAAGCCAAUUUGAACCCCAGCGGGUAAUGUCAAGUUUCCGAGUUUCGUUUCCUUAAGAACAGCUCGACUAAGCAUAGUUACGGGCGGAUAAAGCCUGAGUACCUCAUAAAGUAUCAUCUGGACCUGUCACAUACAUACAAACACAACUGAGAUUAAUAUGAUCAAAUUGAUCAAUAUCGAAUACUAUUUCCUUCGUACUUACAAUUUUGAGGUGAUUCAAUCCAUCAUAGUCGGGCUUAUUAUUGCCAAACACUUGCAAAACCUCUUGCCUUGCACGUUCUUGCCAAUCUUGAUGCUUGCUCAAUAAGACCAUCGUCCAAUUAAGCAAAACAGAGGUAGUCUCUUGGCCGGCAAAGUAAAAUAGCUUACACUCUUCGAUCACAUCGUUCAUGCUGAACCCAACAUUUUUGUUAUUUCCAUGUUCUUCAAUCUCUCUAAAACUGGUUUCCAUCAGUAUGCCUAACAAGUCAUUAUUCGCAGCUUCCCCUGCUUUCAUUGCCUUCUCCCUAUUUUUGAUGAUUCCCAUCAAUGAAGCCCGGAUUUCCUUGUCAAUUUCUUUCAUUCUCCUAUUUCUCUUUGUAGGUAAAAACCUAUAUAUAAGCAAUGAAAGAACUGAAAAGACAAGAUCUAAACAAACUAAUCAAACCCUUAAUUUUUUUUUGCCCUCUUUUUACCAAUCAGAAAUCUGCUGGAGCCUCUUAGAAUAACUCUAUGAUUAGCACAAUCAAGAUAUCUGAGCCGAAGUCAGCUAG
rnacentral:lncRNA from 1 species